UAAUAAUAAUUGUUAAAGAAAUUAAGGCUUUAACAAAUAUAUGAAUAAUACAUGCAUGUUUGGACAAUAAUGUUUGAAGGCCUGCAUAAUUUUGCAUGUAUGCAUUUAGAGUUGGAGAUUCUACUAACUUCUUCCACUUUAGAUGAAAAGAAUCACACUUCUUUUGUGGUUUGAAUCGUUGUCUGCAAUGCUUUGUUAUAUAGUUGAACAUAUGCCACCUACAAAGUAAAUGAUUACUUUGUGGAAAAACAUCUCUGCAUGCUUUCAUUAAUGUCAAAUCUCUAUCAGCAACGAUAACAUGAGGGCAAAAAGAAUCGUUAAUCGUCAAUUUCAAACAAGUCAAUGCCCAUGUAUAGUUGCUCGUUUUUUCAUUAUGCAUGAAUGCAAAGGCUAUGGAAAACGUCUUGUUUGUAGAAGUAACACCAACAAUUUUUAGAAAAGGAAGAAUAUACUUGUUUGUCUUAUAUGUAGCAUCCAUCAACACCACAUAUGGAAAUGCUUGCCACAUCUUUAUUGAUGUUGGAUGAAUAAAAAAUAGCUCUUCUAACUCGUUAGUAAUCGUGUUUACACGAUACUGUAAGUUGUACCCUUUAGUUUGCAAAAUGUGCAUAACAUUCUGUAUCGGGGUUCUACCUUCUCGUCGAGAUCUCCCCAACUUCUGGACAAAAUUAUAUAUAGUUCUCAAUGAAGACACAUUAUUUUGAUUUUACGCUUUUAGUGUUGGCAAAAUAUUUCGCGGUUUCACAUCAAACUCUGUCAAAUCUUGCACCAAACGAGCUUCUUUAUCCGACAAACACAUUGCAAAAGAAUAACCCUCCAUGUACAUUGAUGGUCCGUGAUUGUGUUCGUCACGUACGACCCUUAACUUCCAACUAUCGUGUGCCUUCAAAUACUUUCCUACCAAUUCGAAUGAACAAUUAAUUUUUUUUUUUGCGCAUCUUUAUUUCUAGCUAUACCACCACAAUCACAACUAAAUACUAUUUUAGAAAUGAAUUCCUUAGUUAUUGCCUUUGAUCGUUUAAUGACAACAACGUAACCCUGUGAACGUGUGACAUUUUGCACCUAACUAAUUAAAUCUCCACGAGAUCUAAAGACCUAACAAUUGAGAAAAAAAACUCAUCUUAAAAAAUAUCAAUAAAAUACAUCAUUUAAUUACACAUAAGUAAAUAAUAAGAUUAGAGAUAUACUUGGUCGGUUGAAAAUUUUGAAAUAUUCUCGAUUUUUUUCCUGCAAAAAUUAAAAAAAUACAAAUUAAAAUUGUUGAUUAAUAAUCAAAAUAUUAUUUAAAAAAAUUAUAUUAUUAAUAACCUAUUUUUUUUUAAAAAAAAAUAGCUUAUUAGAAUUUAAUAAAAUUUUCAAGUACAAUAGAAAAAUUAUGAAUAUNNNNNNNNNNNNNNNNNNNNNNNNNNNNNNNNNNNNNNNNNNNNNNNNNNNNNNNNNNNNNNNNNNNNNNNNNNNNNNNNNNNNNNNNNNNNNNNNNNNNNNNNNNNNNNNNNNNNNNNNNNNNNNNNNNNNNNNNNNNNNNNNNNNNNNNNNNNNNNNNNNNNNNNNNNNNNNNNNNNNNNNNNNNNNNNNNNNNNNNNNNNNNNNNNNNNNNNNNNNNNNNNNNNNNNNNNNNNNNNNNNNNNNNNNNNNNNNNNNNNNNNNNNNNNNNNNNNNNNNNNNNNNNNNNNNNNNNNNNNNNNNNNNNNNNNNNNNNNNNNACGACUCCGGGUGACUAUAUUACCACCACCAUCAUCGGAUGGCAGACUCCAACGAACAACGACUCCGGCGAACAACAUAUAAAUGAAGAUACAAAGUUGGAAAGACAGAACUUACCGUUUUCCAACGAACAACUAACUCCAACGACUAUUUUUCGACGAACAUAUUUUGUUUUCCGGCAACCUGUAUUAAGUUUACUGAUUUUUUUUUGUAUUAAGUUUACUCUAUUAAGUUUGUAUUAAGUUUAUUUAUUAAAUAAACAAACUUAUAGACAAAAUAAAUUAAAUUAGUUUUGGUUUUUUGUGUUUUCAUUCAUAUUCAUUGGAAAAUAGUCCAAAAAAAAAUAAAGUCAAAAAGCCAAUAAAUAUUAGUCAAACAUUCCAAUGAAAAAAGAAAUCAAAAAAACCUACCCUGGAAUGUUUGAGAAUGGAGUGUCAAAAUAAGAAGACUUUUUUUUCAAAAACAAUGUUAUUUUUCCUAAAUGCGUUAUUUGUCAUUUUUAAAAUUUUUGCCAUUUCCGAAAAAACAUCAAUGCAUGUGUGAAUAUCACAACGUGAAUAUAUNNNNNNNNNNNNNNNNNNNNNNNNNNNNNNNNNNNNNNNNNNNNNNNNNNNNNNNNNNNNNNNNNNNNNNNNNNNNNNNNNNNNNNNNNNNNNNNNNNNNNNNNNNNNNNNNNNNNNNNNNNNNNNNNNNNNNNNNNNNNNNNNNNNNNNNNNNNNNNNNNNNNNNNNNNNNNNNNNNNNNNNNNNNNNNNNNNNNUCGAUAGAUGAGUGUUUCACCUAGUAUGUGGCCUUUUUAAACACGUUAAAGGUAAGUAUAUUUUCGCAUAUUACAAAUCUGCCGCUUAUACGCUUUAGCGUAUCGGGAUGACAGGACGACAAAACAUAUAAUAUUCAUAUAUGAAUAAUUACUUGAAAAUAUGCAUAUACUCGCAUCGGUAUGCAGGAAGGUUUUGCGGAAAAAUAAUUAUGUGGCCCAGUGGUGGUUUAUAUUCACAUAUGAUUGAUUAAGUUCCUACAUCAUGCCGAUAUGCGGGAGAGUUUUGCAUCAAAAAAAAAAUAUAUGACCCAAAUUUGCUCUCGCGUUCUCAAUUAUAUAAAUGUUAUCAUUUAAAUCUAAGUGUGUGUAUGUGUGUGUGCGUGUGUGUGUGUGUGUAUAUAUAUAUAUAUAUAUNNNNNNNNNNNNNNNNNNNNNNNNNNNNNNNNNNNNNNNNNNNNNNNNNNNNNNNNNNNNNNNNNNNNNNNNNNNNNNNNNNNNNNNNNNNNNNNNNNNNNNNNNNNNNNNNNNNNNNNNNNNNNNNNNNNNNNNNNNNNNNNNNNNNNNNNNNNNNNNNNNNNNNNNNNNNNNNNNNNNNNNNNNNNNNNNNNNNNNNNNNNNNNNNNNNNNNNNNNNNNNNNNNNNNNNNNNNNNNNNNNNNNNNNNNNNNNNNNNNNNNNNNNNNNNNNNNNNNNNNNNNNNNNNNNNNNNNNNNNNNNNNNNNNNNNNNNNNNNNNNNNNNNNNNNNNNNNNNNNNNNNNNNNNNNNNNNNNNNNNNNNNNNNNNNNNNNNNNNNNNNNNNNNNNNNNNNNNNNNNNNNNNNNNNNNNNNNNNNNNNNNNNNNNNNNNNNNNNNNNNNNNNNNNNNNNNNNNNNNNNNNNNNNNNNNNNNNNNNNNNNNNNNNNNNNNNNNNNNNNNNNNNNNNNNNNNNNNNNNNNNNNNNNNNNNNNNNNNNNNNNNNNNNNNNNNNNNNNNNNNNNNNNNNNNNNNNNNNNNNNNNNNNNNNNNNNNNNNNNNNNNNNNNNNNNNNNNNNNNNNNNNNNNNNNNNNNNNNNNNNNNNNNNNNNNNNNNNNNNNNNNNNNNNNNNNNNNNNNNNNNNNNNNNNNNNNNNNNNNNNNNNNNNNNNNNNNNNNNNNNNNNNNNNNNNNNNNNNNNNNNNNNNNNNNNNNNNNNNNNNNNNNNNNNNNNNNNNNNNNNNNNNNNNNNNNNNNNNNNNNNNNNNNNNNNNNNNNNNNNNNNNNNNNNNNNNNNNNNNNNNNNNNNNNNNNNNNNNNNNNNNNNNNNNNNNNNNNNNNNNNNNNNNNNNNNNNNNNNNNNNNNNNNNNNNNNNNNNNNNNNNNNNNNNNNNNNNNNNNNNNNNNNNNNNNNNNNNNNNNNNNNNNNNNNNNNNNNNNNNNNNNNNNNNNNNNNNNNNNNNNNNNNNNNNNNNNNNNNNNNNNNNNNNNNNNNNNNNNNNNNNNNNNNNNNNNNNNNNNNNNNNNNNNNNNNNNNNNNNNNNNNNNNNNNNNNNNNNNNNNNNNNNNNNNNNNNNNNNNNNNNNNNNNNNNNNNNNNNNNNNNNNNNNNNNNNNNNNNNNNNNNNNNNNNNNNNNNNNNNNNNNNNNNNNNNNNNNNNNNNNNNNNNNNNNNNNNNNNNNNNNNNNNNNNNNNNNNNNNNNNNNNNNNNNNNNNNNNNNNNNNNNNNNNNNNNNNNNNNNNNNNNNNNNNNNNNNNNNNNNNNNNNNNNNNNNNNNNNNNNNNNNNNNNNNNNNNNNNNNNNNNNNNNNNNNNNNNNNNNNNNNNNNNNNNNNNNNNNNNNNNNNNNNNNNNNNNNNNNNNNNNNNNNNNNNNNNNNNNNNNNNNNNNNNNNNNNNNNNNNNNNNNNNNNNNNNNNNNNNNNNNNNNGAUCUAUAGUUUGGAGUCCAUGCAUAACUCAAAAGUCCUCUGCAUGUAUGAAGAUCUGAAUGGACUCGGCGAGUCCUUUGAGUGGACUCGGCGAGUAGCAUGAAGAUUUGGAGGAACUCGACGAGUGGGAUGAACAACUCGUCAAGUCAGAUGGAAUUGGGCAGGAACUCGGCGAGUUGGAAGAACAACUCGUCGAGUCUGUUGAAGGUUGUCUUGGACUCGGCGAGUUUGUUCUUGGACUCGGCGAGGCAGGCCGCGAAACCCCAAACCCUUCGAGUUGAGACUCGAAUCAGUGAGUCGAGUGGAGACUCGGUGAGUUGGACAGGUCAGGACUCAGAAAUCGGUAGGAUCGGCGAGUCAUGGAAUGACUUAGUGAGUCGAGUCACGAAUGGAAGGACUCUGAACAUAUGAACUCGGCGAGUCAGUAGGGUGACUCGGCGAGUAGGGUUGACCCGGAAGGUUGAAUUUGACCAGGACUUUGUCUUUGACCAGAGUUGACUUGGUUAUUUUUUGGGGGUCAGUUAGACUCAGUGUUGCAGUGAUAUUGGUAGCUCGGGGAUCGAGUGGAGCUGGAGUUCAGAGAGUUGCCGGGCAGCGGCUAGUGGGAUCAUCAUCAAGUUCAGCCAGUGCAGGUGAGUUUCCCUUUUGUGUGAAUGGGUCUACGGCCACAAUGUUGGCCCAUGUAGUUAUGAGUAGAAGACCCAAGGGUUAGCCCUAGGCACAGUAUGCUAGUAUGAUAUUCAGGACAAGGUCCAAUGAUAGCAGGCGGGUGCCCAAGGAAUGGUUUAUGUGAUACUUUAUACUUGUUGUCUGUGUGAUACUUGUAUAUGCCUGGUAGGGAGGUGAGUGUGGGCGAGGUCCCGUAACUCACCAAUAACAGAGUGUGGGUGGUGUUCCACAUCUCAUUAGCAGCAGAUCAAGGGCGAGGCCCAAGUUAGGGAAGAAGUGAGGGUGGGUUGGGCUCGUACCUCACUAUCAGUAGGAGUAUGGACGGGGUUCCAUGACUCCUCAGUAGCAGGACAAGGUCGAGGCCUUAGGACAAGAUUCGUUAGUAUGUGUUUAGCUUAUGUGAUGUGAUAUGUUUAUGUGCUAUUAUAGGUUAGCGGGCGAGGCCCUGUGACAUGCGAGGCCUAAGUGAAACAGAUUUGUAUCCGAGCGGGGCUCGAAGCCAGGCGAGGCCUGGAGCGGCGAGGACGUUGUAUCGGGCGAGGCCCGAGGUAGGGGGCGAGGCCCAGGAUAGCGGGCGUGGCCCAGUAUGUGCAGUAUGUGGUUAUGCAUGGUAUGUGGUAGGGUGGGGAACUCACUAAGCUUCGUGCUUACGGUUUUCAGUUUUGGUUUCAGGUACUUCCGGUAGCGGAGGGAAGAGCUCGGGGUGAUCGCAUGGCACACACCAUAGAUUAGACAACCUGGGAAUGUUUUACUCUGAUAACGAACAUGUGUCUUGGAAAUUAAUACUCUGAUUAUGUUUGGAUUGAUGAUUUCGCUUUAAGUAAUGCUUUAUUAAAAGAAAAUUUUUAGUCUUGAAUUUUGGGACGUUACAAGUUGGUAUCAGAGCCUUGGUUUGAGGUAUUCGGGCAUGCUCUCGGGUGUGCCUGAACUCAAACUAAGGGGUCGGAUAAAGAGUUUUCAAAAAUGAGAAGACAGUUUUUUAAAAAGGAAGUUUUUAGAAUGAAACUGUUUUAGAAAAGCAAAAGAAUUCAGAAAGAAAAGAACUUUGAAAAGAGAAAAGGGGUGUGGUGCAUGCAAUCAACCGAGCUCAAGUAAGUACCCCAGGGCAUGCUCUCGGGUGUGCCUGAACUCAAACUAAGGGGUCGGAUAAAGAGUUUUCAAAAAUGAGAAGACAGUUUUUUAAAAAGGAAGUUUUUAGAAUGAAACUGUUUUAGAAAAGCAAAAGAAUUCAGAAAGAAAAGAACUUUGAAAAGAGAAAAGGGGUGUGGUGCAUGCAAUCAACCGAGCUCAAGUAAGUACCCCAAAAUACCCAUACAAGUGUAUGUUACGAUUAUCAGAUAAUUGAACAGCAUGCUAGAUUAGGACUAAGGAUCUAGGGAUGAUGUCUUAUGUGCCUGUUAUAUGUGCUUUUGAGCUGCAUGAUAGUGCUGAUUAGACAGUAGUAAGAUAGCAUGUUUAGGUUAUGCCUGAGUUUAUGAGUUUGUGUUGCAUGCUAGUUUAGAUUUUUGCUAUGUGGAUAUGAUUGCUUGAGUAUGUUGUGGUUAGAUUUUCCCUUGUCUGAAUGCUGCUUGCUUUGUGCAUUGUGGGAUUCUGAGUGAUGGGAGUUAGCCAUUAGGCGAAUACGUCACGUCACAUGUGAUCAGGGUUGAAUAAUCUCAGAGUACUGGAUUUGGCCCUAUUGCGCAGCUCUUGCUUGAGUCCAACCGUUGUAGGGACGAGUCUUUUACUUGAAGGAUUAUCUGAGCCUCGUCACAUGUGAUGGUAUCCAGGUGAUGGCCAAUUGGCAUCACAAGGAUACCAUCAGCAGCUGAGGACUAGUUUGAGUCGAGUAAGAGUUUUCCCUAGGGUAAGCCUAGGAUGAGAUAGUGCUGGGAGCAGUAGUAAUGGAUACGAGACCUGGUGAAGUCGAAGCAAUUCCUGAGGAAAGUACGGAUAGAUAUGGAAGGUAGUAUGGGCCCGUACUACUGAAAGCAGAGGAUCCGUACUCGAUUUGGGGAAAGCCAAGACAAGACCGGGAACCUGGUAGGGUGUGUGGUCUCGCAUCAGUGAUCAAUGUUCUGAUAGUGGUUGUGGUAGAUUUUCAGCAUGGUGAUGUUGCGAGAGAGACUAACGGGCGGAUCAGGCAUUGGAGAGGGAUCAGGCUCGGGUUCAGGGGCCGAGCAGCUUGAGGAGCGAAUGAGGGAGUUGAUAUCAGCUGAGGUUACGCGCAGCAUACUAGACCAGACUCCUGUGAUCUUUGGCACGGUCAAGGAGGGUAUACUGGAGAUUUUGGAUGAGAGGUUGGGAGCCUUCCGUACCGAGAUGAUGGCUUUGAUGGGAGCGCGUACCUUGACAUUUCAAGAGUUCAGGGCUUGCGGGGCACUAGAUUAUCAUGGGGCUAGGGACCCCAUCGCUAGCAGCAGAUGGUUGGCUGAUGUUGCCAACGCUUUUCGUACGAGCAAGUGUCCCGAGGGGGACAAGGUUAGACUCGCCUCCUGUCUUCUGAAGGACAGAGCGAGGGAUUGGUGGGAGGAGAUUGGUCAUGCUUUGGGGGAUGAUGCCGCGUUGGACGCGAUGACUUGGAGCGAUUUCUCGGCCAGGUUCAGGGCGGAGUUUUCGCCGAUUAUUGAGGUGCAGCAGCUGGCACGAGAGUUUCAGGAUUUGACGCAGACUACUGAGACUGUGGCGGAGAUCACCGCCAAGUUCAGGGAGAGGGCUCUUCUUGUACCGCAGUAUGUCGCGGAUGAGGAGAUGAAGAAGGCCCGAUAUCACGAGAUGUUGAGGGCCGACAUCAGGGAGUUCGUGAGUAGGUCCAGCUAUAAGAUGCUGGAAGAUAUGAUUUAUCGGGACAGGGAGAGGGAAAUUGAUUUGGAGCAGAUCCGGAAGAGGAAGCCAGAUGAGGUUCAGGUAGUCGUAAGUUCGGGCAAAAGGCCCAAGGGAUCGGAUUCGAGAUCGAUGGAUUAUCAGGACCGCUGCCGAUGCGGGAAGUGUGGCAGGGCGCACGAGGGGGCAUGCAGGAGUGGUAACGGUGGUGAGUCUGGCUGCUUCAAGUGCGGUCGGACUGGUCAUUUUAGCAGGGAUUGUACUGCUACCACGACACAGGGAUNCACGCGUAUCUGAUAGGAUCAGAGUUGACAGCGGCUUUGGAAAGCUACGAUUGCAGAUCAGGAUCUGAAGUCAUACGCAUAAUAGUUAUUAGACUUAUCCAAGUGGGAGACUGUUGGAUUAGUGUCUAAGUCCAUAACUAUUUUGGUAUGUACUUGACCCGAUGGUGCAUGGUCCUUUUGGGUUGCCUUCACCAAAGCAACUUGAUAGGAUGAAUUAUGGAGAGAAAGGAUUAAAUAUGAUUUAUUAAUAUAUUAUGAGGAUAAUAUAUUAAAGGAGAAAUCAUAUUGUUUAAAUUAAUAUUAGUCAAGAAUUAAUUGGUAAUUAGUUUUGUGACUAAAAGAGAUUAAUUAAACUUAAGGGACUGGAAUUGUAAUUAUAAGAUAAUUGCAAUUUGGGCCAUGGAUUGUCUUAAAUCAAGAGGUGGACGAAUUCUUAUGGGAAGCCCAUAAGGAAAUCGUCCAAGGGCUUGAUUAAAGGAGUCUAUGGGUUGCUUAGGGCUUAAGCAACCAAAUUAGGGUUUCCUUGUUAGAUAACCCUAAUAGCCUCACUAUAUAUAGAACCCUUAAGGCUCAAAAACGUGGGGAACUUCUUUUCUAGGGUUAGAACACGUUUUGGGCAGCCUCCAUCCUCUCUCCUCUUCAUCCUCUUGCUUAUGGUGUUUGUAAGCCAUUAGAGGAGUGACACUUGUGACUCUAAGCCUUCCAAAGUCAAUUCAAGGAGGAAUUGGGAUUGUUAUUGCUACAUAACAAUCAAGGUAAUAUCUUAAACCUAAUUAUAUGUUAAUAUUGAUUUCCAUAUGCUAGAAUUAGGGUUUAUAGUCUUGGAUUCAAAGCAUGUACAAUAGAGAAACCUAGAUCCAAGCAUUAGGGUUUGUAUGAGCACAUAGGAUGUCUUAUGACCAAAACCCAUCAGUGGUAUCAGAGCCUUGAUUGGUUUCAAUUGUAUUGAUGCUUGACAUAACUGAAAAAUUCGAUUUUUGAUGUUUUGGAAGAUGGACUCGCCGAGUCCAUGGCUGAACUCGCCGAGUCCAAGGUGACUCGACGAGUCCAAGCCUGACUCGACGAGUCAACUCGUCAGAUGGAGGGUAUUUCGGGAUUUCUUGUUGUUUUUGCUUAUGGAUAGUUACCUUAUCAUGUUAGAUCAAUAUUAAUCCGAUUAUAUGAUAUAUUUGACUAUAUUUUUGAUCUAAUUGAAGAUAUUUAUCAAUUAAUAAGAUAAUUGUUUCCUUAUGUGAUAAUUGAUUAAUUAUUUUGACUAAAUUGAUAAAUUGUUUUGCAAGAAAUCAUUAAAUAAAUCAAAUAUGGAUAAUUAUGUGAUUAAUUGUUAAUUUAGAUUAUUUGUUAUUUGAUCCUUGUUGUUAUGAAAAGUUUCAUAUUUUCCCCUUUAGGUUUUAUAGUUUAAAUUUGAACCCAAAAGUUUUGUUGUUUUGAAAUUUAAAUAGUUGAAACCCUAAUGUUUUGAAAAAGGUUUCAAAACUUGCCCUCAAGUUUUGGAAUUUAAAUUUUGAUUAAAUAGUUUAAUUUUGAUGUAUAUUUAAAUUCUAAACCCUAAUGUGUUGAAAUGUUUCAAAACUUGCCCUCAAGUUUUGGAAUUUAAAAGUUGAUUAAAAGUUUAAUUAGGAAUGUUAAAUUCUAAAACUCUAGUAUAGUUUUGAAAAAGUUCAAAUCACACCCUUAUGGUUUUAUUAAUUAAUUAAGGUGUAUAAUUAAAAGAGGUUUAAUAAAUCCAUAAAAGUUUAGGUUUACAAUUUAAUUGAAUUAAAAGUAUAAUUGUUAAAUUUGACCACCUAGUAUUUUAAAAGUGUAAAAUACACCCUAUACUAUAUAUAACAUUAAAAGUCUAACAUUAUAUAUAUGUAUGAGUAAAAGUCAGUCUUACCGUUAGUAGGCCUCAUUCACGAAGCUGGUCUAUAAGGGGUGUUUAAGGAAAUUGCCUAUAAAAUGGCGAUUGAAUGGGUAUCCACUCUUACCCACCGCACUCUUGACUAGUGGAGGGUCGUUAGCCGAACGGGUAGGAUAGGACGAAACCUUCCAUUAUAAGUAUAAUGAAGUAUAAAAGUAACUAAAUGUUUUCAUAAAAUUCCCAAUCUUAGUUACUUAGGCAAAAGUGAAUUGAUGCAAUUCCAUGAAAUUACACUUUGUGCCCUUGCGAAGACGUUAGUGGAGCGUGUGUGGUUUACCGGCACACUAAAUGGUUCUAAGCAAAGGUAGCAAAGGGUGACUCAAUGUUUGUCAUAGUUCGGUGGAGCGUGUGUGGUUUACCGGCACAUCGAAUAGGUGACUGUAACAUGUGAGGGCACCAUGUAAGUUUGCAUGGUUAUUCACACCCGCUUUGUGAUCCUCGGCAUCCCAGUCACAAACAAGAGGGGCAUAUCGAGAUUUAAACAUGCCAUUGAAAUGUUCAAUGAAUCUCAAAGGAUCUAGGAGUUUUCAUAGAUUUAAAACUUAAAUUUCUUUUUCGUUUUUCAUGGUGGAAAUUAGUGAAUCGUCAUUCACUUACCUUCAAAUGUUCUGCAAUUUGGGUUACGGCAUCCCUCUCCCGAGUUGUAGAAUAUUGUGUUGGGUCCUAGCCUUAGUAUCUCAUUUGGGUGAUUUACUAAGGACUCAAUCAAUCAACUAACUUGAAUUCGUUUUCUCCCGUUUUGUAGAUGUCAAAGUUCGACAACUAUGGUCUUCCCAAAUCCCGUGGAACAAGCAUUCCACAUGAAGAUGAUAUUCCACGAUUCGAUCGAGGAACAAGAAAUCAUGCUUCACUUCCUCCACCUCCUCCAAUUAUUCUCCCUAACCCACAAGUUCAAAGGCUUGAAAAGUUCAAGAUCACUCAAGCCCUUUUGGCAAGUAAACAUAAAGAAGGAAAGUCGGUGUGUGCACACGUCCUAGGGAUGAAGUCACACAUUGAUAGGUUAAGAAUGUUGGGAUCCGUUGUCUGUGAGGAAAUGGCUGUUGAUUGGGUUCUUCAGUCACUUCCUAACUCAUAUAGUGAGUUCGUAAGAGAGUACUAUAUGAUGAACCGCGACGUGACCCUUAUAGAUCUCACCUAUAUGCUUAUUGCUGCUGAAUCAGCAAUGGUUUGGCGCAAUAGAAAAGCAAAGUUGAUUGGUGAAUCUGCCUUCAAGACCUCUAUGGAUAUAGACAAUGGCAACGAAAGACAUGCUAUGAUCGAAAAGUUUGAUCAUAAGAGAAAGGCAAUGUCUGAAGUAGUUCCAUGUCAUGUUCCAAAAGAGUCAAUUUGCUUUUAUUGCCAAGAGAAAGGGCAUUGGAGACGAAGCUGCCCCAUUUACCUAAGAGAUCUAAGAGAUGGGAGAGUCGAAACGUAUGGCUCUAAUAUAGGUAAAAUCCAUUAACUAACUCUUUUAAGCUUCUAUUCUAGAUUCUUAAUACAUAAUGUGAUAAGAUUACAAUUGAUGUUUUGUAGGAUCGAAGAAAAGAAAGGAAGCUUAAGGGAAGAAGUGAGCAGAAUCUAACCGUGAAGGAAUGGAUUUCGAUCGCAUUUCUCGAAGAUUAGAUUCUUGAGCUACUACUUAGAGUUAGAAUUAGAUUGCUAAGAAAGAUGUAUUAGCAUAGUUUUUCAAUGAAUUGCAUUGUAAGGACAAAAUUUUUCCGCAAUAAAAUAAAUUUUGAUUUUAUAUUAUUUAUUUAUCCUUGCAAUGGCGUGUAUGAAAAAUUGAUGUUAGAAUGUUUCUAUUAUUAGCAAUAAUGGAUUUGGUUCUUAUUAUGUUAUUUAUGGAAAGUCGAGAAUUUACCAAAUAGGGAGAGUUUCUCAUCGCCCAAGUUUCAAUUGGACAGAAACUUGGAAUCAUGCAACUUGGUUGCACGAUGAAUGAGAAAUUUCAUAUUUGGAAAUUAGACUAAUUCAUUGACAAAGUGUCAAGUGAAGGACUAGGAGAUCGAGUACACAAAGUUGCGUGUUGAUCAAGUCCACCAUAAGAGUAACAAAGAUAUUCGUCAUGAUUUACUAAAGGUUUAGUAAAUAUGAUUAUACUUAUAAGAUUAAGUGUAAUUCUGAAUUGAUUGAAAAAGUUUAAAUCAAUAGCAGAACGAAUAAGAAGAAUCAAGUAGGCAGAAAGAUAAAAGUUUCUCCAUUCUAAGAAGAAGGGAGAGUACCUUUUAUGCUUUAUGAUAGGUCUUAAUGAUUAAGAACCAUAUCUCAAUUGAUCCUCUAAGUGAGUCUUAGUACAAUUGUAUGUCUAAGAAGAGGAAUCAAGAAUUGAAGAAAUGGUUAAAUCAAGAAGUCAAUCAUACUUCGUUCCAAAACAAGUCUUAGAGUUAAGAUUGUGACAUUGAGUGAUAAGUAUUAAGAAGGUUUAUAACAUUCAUCAAAUGUGGAAAGUUGUGAUGUCUUGGAUAAGACAAAGACCAACUAGGACCAAUUUAUGAAGUGUUUUGAUAAAAGCUACACUAACUCUUGAAUAUUUGUUUGUCAAGAAAUGGUUAUUGACAAGAGAAUCUUAUAUGUCAAGGAGUCAGUGGGAGUCUUAAUGGUCUUGAAAGGUUUCAAGAACAAAUCAAAUAAACCUUAUCGAUCAUCACUAGCACACGAGUUGAGGUUUACAACCUAUCGUGUUGACAUUAUUUUGAUUCUGUGCCAAUCCAAUCGAGUUAAUUAUGCAUGUGAGUUCUAUGAGUUCUCAUUUUGAACGCAUAAAAGGCAAAGCACCUUAAUCAAUGAAAGGUACAUUGAUAGGAAAAGGUGAGCUGCUUAACUACUUGGAAGACAUGGUGGGCAGCUGUGCUACCAUAAGGCAAGAAAUCAAGAUUAAGAAAGUUCGGUCCAUAUGAGUUUGAAUUUGUCGUAAACUUUGGUUUUAACAAAUUCACAUGGAUAGGAACACAUACACCGUUUAAAUCUAAGUGUCAUAAGAUUUCCUCCUUCAUGAAAAUGAUUGUGAGGAAAUGCUUUCACUAAGAAAGAUUUUAAGAAGAUAGUGAUUGUAAAAUUGCAUUCUCGAAUUCAAUUAUGGUUACGGCAUCCCUUUCCAUAAUUUGAAUUGUGAGGUUUGGCAAUUAGUCUUAAUUGUUUAGACACACAUAUGAACUAUCGAAGGCAAAGGUGUAUAAGUUCAAGAAGCCUUGAUAAAAGAUUAUCAAAGCACUAAGUAUUAGAAACAUGAACUUAAGAAAUUCAAUAAGUAUUGUUUUUCUGAAAGUUAAGAUGUUUAUGAAUACAUGUCGAAGCUAGUGGGAGCAUAAGUGUUAUGUUUUAUAAUAAUCAUCAUGAUAGUGGGAGCAUAAAUGUUAUGAUUGUAUGAUUAUUAAGGCACGUAUUGCAAGUUGGCAAUAUUAAUUAUAGAAAACAAGAGUUAUACCUUGCAAAGUCGUAAGGGUUGAAAAGUUGUUUUGCUAUAAUUAAGGGAGAGAAUAUUAUGCUUCAUUUCAAAUCUAAAGGAUUAGGUUGAGAAAUGUUAAUAAAUUUAGUCAAAGGUACAUAGUGUGUUCUUAAAAUUUCGAUUAUGAUUACGGCAUUCCUCUUCACAAUUCGAAUUUUGAGAACAUAGCAAAUAAAACAUUAUGCGUCGUGUCCCAUACGCUUCGGGUAUAGGAUCGAUUGCAAAUGCUUUAAUGUUUGACCAUUCUAAAAUUUUCCAAAUGUCUAGCGCAUUUAGAGGGAAAAAGGACUAGAAUCGGUUUUGACUAAAAUAAUUAAACAACUAUCAAAGGACAAUCCAAAGUUCGACGAGGAUUGGUCGCUUGUGAGUAGUUGGAAGUAUAGUAUUGGAAAAUAUGGAAAUGUUUCCAUAUUGGAUGGACCAUAUCGACAUUAUUAUGAAUAGAUAAGAUUCUAUUAAGAAUGAGUUGUCAUAUGGAAAAUAUGGAAACGUGUCCAUAUUGGGAAUUGAAUAUUGAAAAUCUAUGUCUAGAUUAGAAACUUUUAUGCAAAAGGAUGUUCAAAGGAAUGUACUUUGAGUGAGAGACAUCAUAUCUAAGGAAUUGUCUUGUAACAAUCUCCGAUAGAGGACUUUGUAAUAUCAUUGGCAAUAGUCUUUGUGACUUUGGUGCAGUGACAUUACGAAAGGAUCAUUGCAUAAAAUGUUAGAAUCUAGCAUAUUCUAUAAGUGGCAAGAAUUUGAUAUUCUUACACUUAUGAAAAAGGAUUUGGAGUUGUGAAAUGAGAAUGAUUGGAAAUGUGUUCAAUUUGAUCUAUUUCACAAAGUAAGAACCAUAGGUAAACAUUGUGUGCAUGCUAGGAGCAUGGGACAAGUGUUGUAAUUCAAGUAAGAAGUUGAUUACCCGAAACGACAAAUAAUGAGUAAUCAAUAUGGUGAUAAAUAAAAGGUGUUUUAUUUAUGCUCAAAGGUUUGAGGCCAUAUGGGAUUAGUAUUAUUCUUGUGUUUCACAUUUGCAUGUUUUGACUUCCAGAAUAAUUGAGUUUAUUAAGAAUAAUCGAAUUAUUCGAACGGGCCACAGUCGUUCAUAUGUUGGAAGUAGAUAUGAAUGAAGACUGUCGUGAAUUGGUGUGUGGAUUGUCUAAAGAGUAUUAGACAUAAGCAAAUGUUUGCUGCAACGUUCAUGAGUGCUUAUGAAUAUGAUUUGAGCAUUGGAUUAAACCCACGCUCACUUGGAUCACUCCAUGAAUUGUAUCACGAGUGAUUGGUGAGACGAUAACAUCUUAUAUUCUUGAAACCGAGAUGUGUGAGUUGUAUCUUGCAAAUCGGUUGCACAUUGAUAAUAUGUAAACGCACUAGUAACUUGGUGUUAUAAAACAUAUUGUUGUGUGUGAUUCGGUGAGUGAGUGCAAGCAAGCAUUGAAUCAAAGUUUAUCCGUUCCUUUUAUCCAAAGUAGGAUAAAAGCGAUAUCUUUGGGCCCCUCGAUGAUUUAGUGAUGACAAACGUAAAUGCUCGGCCGGGCUAGGGCUAAUUUGAUUUGUUCAAUUAGUCAGUCGUCAUAAAUCGGGAAUCGAGAUAUAGUACAAAGAGAAUGAUUUGAAAUCAUGUCUCAUACGAUAUCUAGAAUGGAGGAAUAUAUGAUCCCUUAUCUAAAGGACACGCGUAUCUGAUAGGAUCAGAGUUGACAGCGGCUUUGGAAAGCUACGAUUGCAGAUCAGGAUCUGAAGUCAUACGCAUAAUAGUUAUUAGACUUAUCCAAGUGGGAGACUGUUGGAUUAGUGUCUAAGUCCAUAACUAUUUUGGUAUGUACUUGACCCGAUGGUGCAUGGUCCUUUUGGGUUGCCUUCACCAAAGCAACUUGAUAGGAUGAAUUAUGGAGAGAAAGGAUUAAAUAUGAUUUAUUAAUAUAUUAUGAGAAUAAUAUAUUAAAGGAGAAAUCAUAUUGUUUAAUUAAUAUUAGUCAAUAAUUAAUUGGUAAUUAGUUUUGUGACUAAAAGAGAUUAAUUAAACUUAAGGGACUGGAAUUAUAAUUAUAAGAUAAUUGCAAUUUGGGCUAUGGAUUGCCUUAUAUUAAGGAGUGGACGAAUUCUAUGGGAAAGCCCAUGAGGAAAUUGUACAAGGCCUUAAGAAAGGAAUCUAUGGGUUGCUUAGGGCUUAAGCAUCCAAUUUAGGGUUUCCUUGUUAGAUAACCCUAAUAGCCUCCUAUAUAUAGAUCCCUUAUGACCCAAAAACGUGGCUAAGCUUUAUUCUAGGGUUAGAACACGUUUUGGGCAGCCUCCAUCCUCUCUCCUCUUCAUCCUCUUGCUUAUGGUGUUUGUGAACCAUUAGAGGAGUGACAUUUGUGACUCUAAGCUUUCUAAAGUCAAUACAAGGAGAUUUGGGAUUGUUAUUGCUACAUAACAAUCAAGUUAAUAUCUUAAACCCAUUCUUAUGCUAAUAUGAUUACUUGUAUGCUAGAAUUAGGGUUUAUAGUCUUGGAUAACUUGCAUGUACAAUAGAGAAACCUUGAUCCAAGCAUUAGGGUUUGUAUGAGCACAUAGGAUAUUCUUAUAGCCAAAAACCAUCACUUUGAGGAUCACAGACGGCCGUCAGGGCCGUGCAGAGGCGCCUGCGGUAGGAGGCAGGGAUUUUCAGAUGACUACCUUGGAGGCGCGUGCAACAUCGGACGUUGCAGGUAUGCGAUUUCCGUUUUCAGUUCUUUUAUUUGUGCAUGAUUAUAUUGUUAUGGUUCUGCAUCAUUAUCAGUAUGAGUAUUUUAUUUUGUGCAGUUUGAUCGUGAUCGAGUUAUAUGCCAUCUGCAUACCUUGGAUAUUUGAAUGAUAGUUAAGGGAUGUGCUCUAUUGGGGAAGGUUGCUUAGGAUGUAGUAACUGUAGCAUGCUUGGGAGGAACUUGGUAUGCCACGCUAGUUCGAAGCCGUAAAAUUUUGGAAAUGGAUGGGUUAGAUCCCUAGCUAUGGUAAGCUUGGGGUUCCUCAGCAGGUUGAUUAUGGAAUGGCAGCGAGGAUUGGGAUUUCUAUUCGAGUAUUUGAGCAGCAAGGGUUAAGCAGGAUCGAAGUGGGGGAGAAUCCUCCGAGCGUGCAAAUGUAAGAGCACGCAGAUCCAUAAUGAGUGCGCAGCCUCCGAGAAGGAAAAGGAGUGGUACAACAUUGAUGGAUUGAGAAGUUCAGGGUUGGGAGCUUGAUAAACUUCCCCCUCAGCCAGUGCGUGUAUUGGUGAUGGUUAGUGUGUGGUUGGGAAUUCAGGUUGGAGGAUCGCCUGUAGGGCUCGAGUGAGUCAAAAGGAAGAUCUUGAGAACUGAUAGCAUGGUGUGUUUUCGCAUUAGCAGUCAGUGGUGGAAAGUGUUGUAAGACUACGGGGCAGCCGUAGCAUUCACUAGCAGACGGUGGUAGAAGGUGAUGUAAGACUGCGGGAAAGCCGUAGCAUUCCAUAGUAGCUUCAUUGGCGGAGUUGGGGCGAGGCCCUUAUCUCCUAGUGAUCAGAUAGGGAUCAGGAAUGGGUAGUGGAUGAGAAUGAUAGGGAGCUUGCCUGUAUAGCCCUAGAGAGGUGAGACCUUGGGAGAGGCCGCUCCAGGAUAUAGUUGGGUGAGACCCGUGGGCGAGGCUCGUAUGAGAAUAGCAGUAUAGGUGAGACCUGAGAGCAGGGUUGCUCAGUAGUAUGGUCGGGUGAGACCCUUGGGCGAGGCCCGAGUGAGAAUGGCUAGGCAAGUGGGACUAGAGGGAUAUAGGCGGAUGAGACCCGUGGGUGAGGCCCGUGAGUAUUAGCAGCACAGGUGGGACCUGGUAGGGACCUUAGUGUCAAGAUAGGGGAUCAGGGAUCCCAGGAUUGUAGUGCCUGAAUGGCAGAAUAGAUUGAGCAGUUAUAGGUGGUCGAAGUUUUCCGAAGUCGCUGGGAGCGACUAGUAGUUGUGAUUGGGACAGUGAUCGGUGGGAGCCGGUAAUCCAGAUAUUGAUAGGUUAGUAGGGACCAGGGUGGUCUCAGUUCAUCUGGAAGUCAGAUGAGGAAUAACAGAAUUUCCAAUCAGUAGCAGUGCGGGUAUGCAGCGUGUGGUGGAAUUCAGUUAGUUGAUCGUAGGGUGCUCGACACCAAAUUAUAGUAGAAAGAAAUUCCCAAUGGAUACUGGUGAUAAUGACCCGAACUGGAGGUAGCGGGAGUAAUGGAUUGGUGAAGAUAGGAUCUUCACAGUGACAUAGGAAAUAGUUGGUUAUGGAGCAUUGUCUUAGGGAGGCAAGGAAACCGCGUAAGGAAAGAAGGGGUGAUCCCCUAUGGGUUCAGUGUAGUACUUGGUGAGUACCAGAAGGAUUGUCGGUUGAGUAAGUUGUGUUUCUAGAAUGUUCAGGGUCAGGGUUGACCCGAGAUUAUUAUCCAUAAGGAUUAAUGUUACUCAGAAUGACCGGGCGAAAGACCAGCGAAGGUAGGCAGCUGGUGAUGGAUCAUUUAGUGGAACAUUGGAGGCAGAUCGCAGGCGGCUGGCCAUAGCAAACUUCGAGGAUGAAGUUUAGUUAAAGUGGGGGAGAGUUGUAACACCCAAAGUCUGGAAGGCCAAGAAAGGAAAGGAAACCCUAAUUCUAAGGAGACUCGGCGAGUCUGGUCUGUGCAAGGAAAACCCUAAAUUUGGGACUUGGAGCCUAUUUAAACAUCUCAUUCUCUUCCCUAGGGUUCCUUUACUGUCUCACUAACCCAGAACACCAAACCCUAGCCGCCAUAUCCAUUGAUUGAGCCAAUUGUUGCCUUGAAGAGUGCAUUAAAGCUUGGAGAAGGAAGAAGGAUCUUGGAGGUGCAAGAAGGGGCUAUAGAUCUGGGAUUUGGAAGAUAUUUAUGAGCAAUUGGAGGUAAUAAACUAGUUCUUGGACUCUUUUGCACCUAGAUCUAUGUGUGAGUUUUGGGGCUUUCAGCCAUAAUGGUAUCCAUUUGAGUUAGAAGCCAGAUCUGAAGUUGCUACUUCGGAUCUAAGCAUAUUAUGGUCUUGAGAAGCAUAAAGUAUCUGUCCUUGAGUUGAUGAUGGAGCCUCUUUGUCUUAAACCCUAGUUUAUGGUGUAUUUUGCCUAGAUCUCCUUCUCUACACGUAAAGUUUGCAACUUUACGUGAGGAAUGGGCUUGGGAAGGGUAGAUCUACAGUUUGGAGUCCAUGCAUGACUCAAAAGUCCUCUGCAUGUAUGAAGAUCUGAAUGGACUCGGCAAGUCCUUUGAGUGGACUCGGCGAGUAGCAUGAAGAUUUGGAGGAACUCGACCAGUGGGAUGAAAAACUCAUCGAGUCGGAUGGAGUUGGGCAGGAACUCGGCGAGUCUGUUGAAGGUUGUCUUGGACUCGGCGAGUUUGUUCUUGGACUCGGCGAGUCUGUUCUUGGACUCGGCGAGUCAGGUCGCGAAACCCCAAACCCUUCGAGUUGAGACUCAGUGAGUUGGACAGGCCAGGACUCGGAAAUCGGUAGGCUCGGCGAGUCAUGGACCGACUCGGUGAGUCGAGUCGCGAAUGGAAGGACUCUGAACAUAUGAACUCGGCGAGUCAGUAGGGUGACUCGGCGAAUAGGGUUGAACUGGAAAGUUGAAUUUGACCAGGACUUUGUCUUUGACCAGAGUUGACUUGGUUGUCUUUCGGGGGUCAGUUAGACUCAGUGUUGCAGUGAUAUUGGUAGCUCGGGGAGCGAGUGGAGCAGGAGUUCAGAGAGUUGCUGGGCAGUGGCUAGUGGGAUCAUCAGCAAGUUCAACCAAUGUAGGUGAGUUUCCCUUUUGUGCGAAUGGGUCUACGGCCACAAUGCUGGCCCAUGUAGUUAUGAGUAGAAGACCCGGGGGUUAGCCCUCGGCACAGUAUGCUAGUAUGAUAUUCAGGACGAGGUCCAAUGAUAGCGGGCGGGUGCCCAAGGAUUGGUUUAUGUGAUAGUUUAUACUUGUUUUCUGUGUGAUACUUGUAUGUGCCUGGUAGGGAGGUGAGUGUGGGCGAGGUCCCGUAACUCACCAAUAACAGAGUGUGGAUGGUGUUCCACAUCUCAUUAGCAGCAGAUCAGGGGCGAGGCCCAAGUUAGGGAAGGAGUGAGGGUGGGCUGGGCCCGUACCUCACUAUCAGUAGGAGUAUGGACGGGGUCCCAUGACUCAUCAGUAGCAGGACAAGGGCGAGGCCCAGAGACUGGCGAGGCCAUAGGACAAGAUUCGUUAGUAUGUGUUUAGCUUAUGUGAUGUGAUAUGUUUAUGUGCUAUUAUAUGUUAGCGGGAGAGGCCCUGUGACAUGCGAGGCCUAAGUGAAACAGAUCUGUAUCCUAGCGGGGCUCGAAGCCAGGCGGGGCCUGGAGCGGCGNNNNNNNNNNNNNNNNNNNNNNNNNNNNNNNNNNNNNNNNNNNNNNNNNNNNNNNNNNNNNNNNNNNNNNNNNNNNNNNNNNNNNNNNNNNNNNNNNNNNNNNNNNNNNNNNNNNNNNNNNNNNNNNNNNNNNNNNNNNNNNNNNNNNNNNNNNNNNNNNNNNNNNNNNNNNNNNNNNNNNNNNNNNNNNNNNNNNNNNNNNNNNNNNNNNNNNNNNNNNNNNNNNNNNNNNNNNNNNNNNNNNNNNNNNNNNNNNNNNNNNNNNNNNNNNNNNNNNNNNNNNNNNNNNNNNNNNNNNNNNNNNNNNNNNNNNNNNNNNNNNNNNNNNNNNNNNNNNNNNNNNNNNNNNNNNNNNNNNNNNNNNNNNNNNNNNNNNNNNNNNNNNNNNNNNNNNNNNNNNNNNNNNNNNNNNNNNNNNNNNNNNNNNNNNNNNNNNNNNNNNNNNNNNNNNNNNNNNNNNNNNNNNNNNNNNNNNNNNNNNNNNNNNNNNNNNNNNNNNNNNNNNNNNNNNNNNNNNNNNNNNNNNNNNNNNNNNNNNNNNNNNNNNNNNNNNNNNNNNNNNNNNNNNNNNNNNNNNNNNNNNNNNNNNNNNNNNNNNNNNNNNNNNNNNNNNNNNNNNNNNNNNNNNNNNNNNNNNNNNNNNNNNNNNNNNNNNNNNNNNNNNNNNNNNNNNNNNNNNNNNNNNNNNNNNNNNNNNNNNNNNNNNNNNNNNNNNNNNNNNNNNNNNNNNNNNNNNNNNNNNNNNNNNNNNNNNNNNNNNNNNNNNNNNNNNNNNNNNNNNNNNNNNNNNNNNNNNNNNNNNNNNNNNNNNNNNNNNNNNNNNNNNNNNNNNNNNNNNNNNNNNNNNNNNNNNNNNNNNNNNNNNNNNNNNNNNNNNNNNNNNNNNNNNNNNNNNNNNNNNNNNNNNNNNNNNNNNNNNNNNNNNNNNNNNNNNNNNNNNNNNNNNNNNNNNNNNNNNNNNNNNNNNNNNNNNNNNNNNNNNNNNNNNNNNNNNNNNNNNNNNNNNNNNNNNNNNAUAUAUAUAUAUAUGAGAAAAGUGAAUAUACCCUUAAGGGUAUAUAACUUUAUGUACCCUAAUCCCUAAAACUAGGUAGUUUUGUUAAAUUAUAUCAUUUCUUUCUUAAUUCUUUCCUUAUUUUUCUGGUUACACGAUUCCUUCCCAUUAUUUUAACUUGUUUGAACAGACUACUUCCAGUAUCAUGGUAGUAUCGACGUACUAAAGAAAUAAAAGCAAGUUCAAACAUAUGGAGGUGCUCUGAUUCAACAGAAUUCAAUAAAAGCCAUCGGUUGUGGCUCAAAGUGUUCUACGCAAUCAAUCUUACCCCUUAUUGGUCACGAUUUGGAAUCAGAAUGUGAAAAACGAGGAUUCCUAACUAGAACAUGGUUCGAUUUUUAUAGUAAGUUGUAAUCUUCAAAAAUAAUCCAUGGUUGUAGGAAUUUAAGUUGACCAAUCUGCAAAACAUAAAAAGCUAUCAGGUUAGUUAGGGAAAAAAAUUUACAUCAGGUUAGUUAGGGAAAAAAAUCAUGAUUGUUCAAGAUCCUUCGAUUUUGGUAGUAUUCAGACAUAGAUUGUGGAUUAUAACACCACAUUGAGCGAAGGUUUUCUGAUAUUAGGUUGCUUUUGGAUACCAUGUGCAAAAUCUUCUUUAUUUUCAAAUAUAUUAGAAGAAGCCUACCAGGUGUUCGAUAAAACGCCAUCUCAUAUAUUUUAACAUUUUUGUUUCAUUUUUGAUGCGAAUCAAGUUGUGUAUUUUCCUCUCUAUUUGAAAUUCUCCAACCCCACUCUCUCACCAUAUCAUCUACAUUCUACAAGGUAAAUGUAAUUACUCUUUAUUCAUUGUUUGAUGUAUAAUUGUGUAGAGUAUGAUAAUCAAGAUUUCUCAAAAAAAAUUGACUGUGUUUUGAUUUCAAAUAUAUGUUUGUUGGCUUAAUGUGAGAAAUAGAAACCUAGUUUGUUGAUUUCCUACAUUUGAUUGUUGGGUUUGCCGAUAUCAGGUUGGUAUGUAGUAACUCACACACAUAAUUUUUAAAACUAAUAGUUAACCAUUUGGUUUCUGACUAUGUGUGAUUAAAUUAUCAGGUCUCCAGAUAGUCCAAUUACAGAGAUAGUGUCCUUGUAAAACUGUUCAGAAAGUAAGUUGGCACUUUGAAUAGUGUCAUUAAACUUGGAGAACAUUUUCUGUUUCUGAAAUGGAAGCACUUGUGGAAGCAUUAGACUGAACUGAUAUAGAUAGUUGGGACUCCAGAUAAAGUCUAAUUGGAGUUGGAACUUGGAAGAGGAAUAAGGGGGUUUUUAGGUUUUAACAUGUUGAUUCUUCAUUUGGUUCAUAUAAAUCUUUUGUACAUUGUAAUUCUAUUUGUAAUUUGAUGCAUUUUGUAAUCUUAUUAAUUGAAUUGAUUCAUGACAACUCUUUUUUGUUGUUUCAUUUUAAUUAUUGUUCCGUUUCUAUUACUUUGAGUAAGCCUACAAUUAUAGCAAUCAACAUUUUUUUGUAAAUGAUAGGACACAUUGGUCAAUUGUGGGGAAAGGGGCCUCUAAAAAAUAGCAUCAUACUUUUUUUUUUCACAAAAUAACAUCAUAUUUUCGUUUUCCCCUUUCCCAAAGAUGGUAUGUAAUCUUCAAAACCUAAGGAUAGGGAAGUUAAAGGCACAUAAGCAAUACGACCAAAAGCAAAGAAUCGUAAUUCCUAAUUUUGAUUUAAAAUGAUAAGUACAUUGCCAUUUCAGAUAAAUAUGAAAAAUGGGUUGCUAUUUCAGCUUACUCCAAAAAAAUAAUACUUUUGUUCUAUAUAUUUUCUAUCAAAGUAUAUAUGGUCCAUUAACUAUACAACAACACAAACUUUUGCUAGAGUUCCUACAUUUUCUAUCAACGUAUCCCUGUCAAGUAUGCAACCACUAUUUUAACAAAGAUAACCCCAAGAAGCAUUUUUAACAUGUUCUCCAUGUUCGACAUAAUUUUAGACCUGAGGUAGACCCCACACGCCUAACCCCAUUAUAAUAUCAAUUGGAGCACUAAACCCAAACAUAUAUCUCCAAUCUGAAAGUUGCCUACAAAGUAUCCCAAGUAUACAAAGCAUAAACACCAAGUUAACCCUUUCAAAAUUGGUUAGAUGUUUUUUAUGUGAUUUUUGUAUGUAAAACAAGUAAUGGAGUGCAAUUUUAAAUACCAAUAUUCCAAGAACUAUGAAUAGUUGAACAAAUAGAUAAGUAAAACAAUCAUAGAUUGUUUUUCACCACAAGGUUGAAUUGAACAGCAAAUAGAUUGCAUGUUGUGCCACUAAGCUCAGAUGACUAUAGAACAAUUAAGAUAAGUAUCAAAAUUAAUUGUGGCGAUAUGGAAAUAAUUAAUAUGUUGUGUAUGCUAUUGAAUUUUCUUAUUGAAGAACUAAAAAAGUUGUAUGUAAAUGAUGAGAUAAAUACCUAUAAAGAGAGGGUGGCACCAAACUUGCAAUAAAAGUUAAAUGAGGGUGCAUUUGUUCAGACUCAGGACUUUAUGGGAAAGUAUCAUUUCCAUGUCUUUCUCCAUAAAGUCAUUCUCUUUCUAUGAUUUAGAUUUCCUUUUCUAUAUGUGGUUCCAGAUGACCAAAAAUGAUAGUUUUAAAGAUAUAAAUGAAAAAUCAUAUUUGAAGUUGAAAAGUCCCAUUAAAAAAGUUGGACAAGUUAAUCAUGUUAGAGAGUUUAGCAAAAAUUCUUACAGGUAAGGAGUUUCCAUGAAGAAAUGAUCAUCAGUUAACUACAAAAUUACCUACCUAUGUUAAGUUUAAGCCCCUAAACUUAAAGUCAUUAUAUGAUAUUGGAUAAUUAAAAGAAGCUAAAAUACGACAAGAUUACAAAAUACCAAGAGAAAUCCUCUUGAUAUGCUUCUUCUCCUGCUAUUGAAGCUCUAACCCAUUUUAAUAUAAAAAAAAAACACGAUUUAUCCAAAUAAAAGAGAUAAAAAUCAAUUUCGAAAGAGAAUGUGGGUUAUAGUUCAAUCACAAAUGAAAAAGAGUGUUAUAAAUAUGAAAUGACAUUUCAUCGAACACCUGGUUGGCUUCUUUUAACACAAUUGCAAAUGAAAAAGAUUUUUGUCAAGUGGUUUUCCAAAAACAACUAUCAGGAAACCUUAGCUCAAGGUUGUGUUUUAAUUUGCAAUCUACAUCUAAAUAUUACCAAAAGAGAAGGAUAUUGAGCAAUCGUGAAUAUUUUUUCUUAACUAACCUGAUAGCUGUUUGUGUUUUGUUGAUGAAAGGUAUAUUACAAGAUGGGAAAUUGUUGUCUGUCGCUGCGUCAUAGUCGGCAUGAGCAUCAACUAUCAUAAAACUGCAACCAAAUAACAACGCGGAAUCAGUUUGUUUUGGAUCGGUAUUAUCAGGGUUAAUCAGGUGAUGAGGUUUUCAGGAAAUUGAUGUGUCGAGGUCAAGAAGGAGAGUGCCAAAAUCCAAUUUUCAUAGAGGGAGGGGGACGACCUUACGCAUGACGAUCACAAAGGCAAAAUCAAAAAACUUGUGAAACUUAUUUGCUCUUAAACGAUGCAAUCUCAAAUCACUAAUGAAACAACGUAGUUUAAUUUUUUGGUACCUAAACUCAUAUACCCUCAAGGGUAUAUUCACUUUUCUCAUAUAUGUAUAUAUAUAUAUAUAAUNUUUUAAAAUUUAUUUGCUUAAUGUUUUAAUUUCUAUCAUUAUAAUUAUUUAAAACAUUAAACAUUGUUUUUUAUUUUAAAGGUAACAAUAUAAUCAUUUAUAUAGAGUUAUUUUUAACUAUUGUUAUUGUAAGUUAUUUUAAACUACUUAUUUGAAAACUUUUGAUGAUUAUAAAAAUAUAUAUAAGAAAUAUUUUAGUUAUAUUAAGAUUACAAUUUAGUUUUUGCAUUUAUCACUUUUAACUAUUUACAAAAUAUUCUUUAGUUUUUAAGUGGAAUAGAAAUUUAUUUUUAACUUGACAUUGUAAUGUUAUAUUUAAAUUAACAAUUUAAGUAUUUUGUCAAAACUGUUCAAAAGUUGUUGCUUUAAAUUGAUAAUGGUUUAUAUACAAGAACAUAUUAAAUCUAAUAAAUUAAGUAUAAUAUGUUAAAAGCUAAAGACAUAACUUUAUAAGUAGAAAUAAAUAUAUUAUUUUAAAAUUGAAAUUUAGUAUAUAUUUAUGAUUACACUUUAGGUUUGAUAUUUGUUUAACCUUAUUAAAUCAACUUAUAAUCAUUAUUAGAAAGACACUAUAAUUAAUCACUUUUAACUAUUUACAAAAUAUUCUUUGGGUUGUUUAAGUUAAACUAAAAUUUAUAUUUAAGUUGACCAUGUAAUGUUAUAUUGAAAUUAAUAAUUUAAGUAUUUUAUACAAAUUGUUCAAAAAUUGUAUCUUUAAAAUGAUAAUGGUUUACAUCCAACAAUAUAUUAAAACUAAUAAAUUAAGUAUAAUAUGUUAAAAGUUAAAAAACAUAAUUUUAUAAGUAGAAGUAAAUAUAUUAUUUUAAUAUUAAAAUUUAAUUUAUAUAGGAUUACAUUUUAGGUUUGAUAUUUAUUUAACCUUAUUAACCAACUUAUAAUUAUUAUUAGAAAAAAUUGAGAAGUCAUGACAGUUUCAAAUUAAUAUGGUGAAAAAAAAAUGUGUGGGAGUUUCAAAUGAAUGUGGUAAAAGAAAAAAUGUUUACUUGAUAAUAUAAUAUGAUGAUUGACCGGAAGAAAUAGCCGAUAUUUUUUAAAACAUGUAAAAUUACAUAAAAUAAUAUUUUUGUAAUAUAUAAAAGUAAAAACAUAAUUUUAUAAAAAGUAAUGAAGUCAAUUUGCAAAAAUAUAAUUCUUUUUUGUUAAAUGCUAUUUAAAAUAGAUUUUGAAUUUGUAGAUUUUUUUUAAACUACAAACCAGAACUUUCUCUUACAAACAAUUUUCUUUUUCCAUAAGUGUUUUUUCAUCAAAACUAAAAAAUAAAAGCUUUCAAAAGCUAUUAAGCGAACACACCCUCCUACAAGUAUUACGAUUUUAGACCAGGAAUAUGCAUAAUUAUGAAAGAAGCAUAAAUAAUGUGGUUUUUGAAAAUGGGUUUUGGGAAAAUGACCCAAUUUACAGGAACCCAUGCUUAAAAGGGCCUUGCGUUCUUGCAACUUACAAGUUAUAAUUACAACUUUUAAAAGUAUAAACUAGUGCAUGUGCAUCAUUGCAAUUUGCCAAUUUGGCUUUCCGAAUAUUAAAGCGCUAGUUGCCAGACCGAACAUAAUGAACAGUUUAAUAGUAAAAAUUGAAUAAAGUGGAAGUAUUAGAUAUUUAAUGGAUUAAAUUCGAUUAUAACUAGAUGUUAUAUUGUCACUUGCGGGUUAUGAAGUUUAAGGGGAAAAAAUGUUUCUUUUUACUUUUGAAGUUUAAAAUAUUGUUGUAUUGAACAUUUUUCUAAAGUUUAAUAUAUUAUAGAAAAAAAUAUAAUUGAGUAAAUUAGAGUAAUUAUUAGUGGGUCAACAUGAUAGAUUAUUCUAAGUUUGGGCAUAAUUUGUGUUUUGGGCCAACAUGAUAGAUUAUUUAUUAAUCGGGUCUACGUCGUGAAUUAAUAUUAUUCAAGUUUUGGGUUCAUUAUAUUACUGUGGGCUCAUAUUAUAGAAUUGGGCCUAUUGGUAGGUUUAUGCCCCAUUUCAGAAUAAUUCAUGGUGCCAUUUUUCAUAUUUGAACUUGGGGUAUAUCCGUAUAUGAUCUAAAACCAAUUCUAUUAGGGAUUAAGAGGGUGUUUGAUUGGCAGGAAAUAAUUGAAAUUCGAGGGAAAAUGAUUUCAAUACCUACGGAUUCUUGUAUUUGGUUCAACUUUAAGGAAGGAAAAUGAAUCCUAAAUGAGAAAACAUUCCUUGAUAUGAAGGAAAAUACUCCCCUUCAACAAAAUGAUGGAAAUAAUUUCAUACCAUCAAGGAAAGUGAAACAUUAUUAUUAUACCCCUUUUAUUUUAACAAAACCAUUCUAAAAAAGAAAACCUUAUCUCACGUAUUCAUCAAAACCAAACUGCAGUCGACACACACUUAACGCGUCUUCUCAUUUGUUCGUCAAAAUUGAAUUGCAGCCGACAACACACUCAACUCGUCUUCUCCAUCUCUUCGCUAGGUAUGUGCAUCACUAUAGCUAUCGAUUUAAAUCUCAAUGUCUCUCACUCUCCCUCUCUGGCUCUCUCUCUCUCUCUCUCUCUCUCUCUCUCUCUCUCCCCCCCCUCUUUCUCUCUUUCUCUGUAACAUCCAUAAAAUUCAUGAAAAAUUUAAAGUUUUCAAACAGUUCCACAAACCAUCAUUGUUUACAAAUUAGUUUUCAAAAUAUGUUUAUUAUCAGAGUUUUCACAAAAUCAUAAAACAACACACGAGAAUGUGCACGAUCACGCAUAUGCCUUUCAUGCGAUCACCUGAGUUGGAACAUAACCCAAAACUGUAACCCAAAGCUUAGUGAGUUCCCCCAAAAUACCAACACAACAUGAAACCAGAAUAAUAACAAUAAACAACAUGCAUACAAAGCUUUCAGUCUAACUGGAACGCCCCACCGGCGUGCAGUCUACCUAGUACGCUCACAAAACCUACAACACGACUGGCACGCCACAACGGACCUUCAGCCUAUUUGGAAUGUUCUCUGGGCCUUCGGCCUAACUGGUACGUCCCACUGGCCUUCAGUCUAUCCUGGACGCCCUGGGUCUAUUGGCCUUCAACACAAAGCAGUUCCGCCUCAACCCAACCACACAUACACCGUGUCGGCACACAUAUAUAACAGACAAUCAUACAAAUAACCAUCCAAUNACUUAACCAACCAAUAACAAGGUUAUCGAUCAUACAAAUCACUAAGCAUAGCAUCAUCCUAUCUAUCAGGAUAAAGAUCUAACAGAUCACUAUAGUACUCAAUCAUAUAGUAAUCAGGAUAACAAUCCAAAGGGUCGGCCUUGGUGCCUUUGACCCAAAAGUACAGUGAGGAAAACUAACCCCACACUAAUGCAUCAUAUUGAAAGUCUUCGACUGAUGGCUCACAAAAAUCUCCGCGCUAUCAUAACAAAAUAAUCAUCCAAUUAAUAAUUGGAUUAAAACCAAGGCUAAUAGUCCAUCAUUAGGGUAAAAGGCCACUUUACCCUUUCCGUAGUUGGGCUAAGACCCAAGCCUAAAUCUUGAUCCAAAAGGCCAAAAAAUAAACAAUCACUCAAGGCUCAUAAUCGGUCCGAUUUUCCAAAUUAGGCCCAAAAUCCUACUUGGGCCUUACCCUAAGGUCUAUCUCUUCACCUAGCCUAAAACACCAAUACUCAGAUGGUCCAAUAAGCCCCCAAGCAUCUAAGCCCAAAAAGGUUGCCCAAACUUCUAAACCCAAUAGGUUGAGUAUGCGUGGCAUACCCAGUUGUACGCUCAGUGUACUCCGCCUAGACCAAGAAAUGCGUCGUUGACCACCUACACCCAGCGUACGCCCUGGUACGCCUAGCGUACGUGGUGGCCAUGUAAAACUUCGAAUAAGAGCUUAUUCAUUCAGUCCAAACUUCCAAUAACCAGAUCCAAGUCCAAAAAGGUGCUCUUAACCAUAAGGUUUCCACCUUUAAGGUUAUGCAUGUAUCAUUAAGACCCAAAACCAACUUCCUAGUUGGUCUUAAGCACUAAGGACCUCUACACUUUACAUGCAAGCACUAAAUAAGUCAAGAAAGCAUUUUUAUGACUUAACACAACUCAAAUCUUAUGAAAAGGUAGCUCCUUUGGUCUUAGAGUAGCAUUAACUCAUUAAGUCCAAGAAAAUGGGACAAAACUCAUAAACUCAAUAGGGAUAGAUCUCUAAGAAAUACAAGUAAAGUUCAAGACUUUAUACCUUCUGGAGCUUCGCAAAGGGAUGAAGAUCUCAAAUCUACAAGUUUGAAUCCCACACCAAAGCUUCUCAAAGAAUCCUUUCUUCUUUCUUCAACAGCAAGAACACACACACACACACUCAAGCUCAACACACACACACGUUAGGGCUUGCAAUAUCAACUCAGAGAGAGUGGAGGAUGAAAGGGUGAGGGAAAUGAGGAUAUAAGGGGGAUUAUAUAGGGCUCAAACCUAAAAAUUAGGGUUUUCAAUGUCUAAUGAGUAUGCCCCGCAUACAUAGACGUACGUUAAGCGUACACACAUACGCAUGGUAUACUCCCACUCCUUCCAAAUUACGAUUUUGCAAUUAGGGUUUCUCAAGGAUACCUCCUUCCAUUACGGGGACUAAAAUGACAUAAAUUAAAACUAAUUUGAAAGUACCUGAAUACUGGGGUGUUUCAACUCAUCCCCACUAGAAUUCACUUCGUCCUCGAAGUCUGCUGCAAUGAAAAACUUGGGAUAAUGCUCUCGGAGCCCCUCCGGUGCUUCCACCGUACCUUUACCAAAGGUACUUCCUCAUUAUGCAAAACCUUUACCUUCAUUUCCAGAAUAGCUACCGGCCUCUCAACAUAGUUCAUGCGCUCAUCGACCUGAAUAUCAUCCAAUGAAACCACCACAUCCUCAUCCAAUACGCACUUCCGUAGCUGAGAAACAUGGAAAGUGUUGUGAAUAUGAAUGAACUCCUCAGGAAGAUCCAAUCUGUAAGCAACCUUGCCAACCCUGGCAAUCACUCGAAACAGCCCAAUAUACCGGGGACCCAAUUUUGCCCUUUUCCUGAAGCGUAUCACACCUUUCCAAGUUGAGACCUUCAGUAACACCAUGUCGUCAACCUGAAAUCCCAACUCGGAUCGGCACCGGUCGGUAUAGCUCUUCUGCCGACUCUAAGCAGUCUGCAAUCUCUUCCCGAUCUGCUGAAUCAUCUCUGUGGUCUGAAGGACCACUUCGGCCUGCCUCAUAACCCUGUGGCCCACCUCGCCCCAGCAAACCGGGGUACGACUUCUCCGCUCAUACAAGAGCUUAAGAGGUGGAGCACCAAUGUUGGAGUGAUAACUGUUGUUGUAGGAGAACUCCUCAAGAGGUAGGGAUGAGUCCUAGAUCCCACCAAAAUCGAUAACAUAAGCCCUCAACAUAUCCUCAAGGGUCUAUAUCAUCCGUUCACUCUGGCCGUCGGUCUGUGGAUGAUAAGCAGUGUUGAAGUGCAACCUAGUGCCCAGUUCCUCAUGGAACUUCUACCAAAAAUGGGAGGUGAACUGAACAUCACAGUCAGAAACAAUGGAGACCGAAACCCCAUGGCGAUCAAGGAUCUUGCGAAUAUACACAUCGACCAAAUUCCUGACAACCAGGACCUCUGAAACUGAAACCUGAUACCCAACACGCGUAUUCACCAUAUAAGCCAAGUAACACGCACACCCAUGUUGAAUAUACUGUCGAGCCCUGGCUGCAGAACAAAACCUUGAACCCAUCCUGGUUCCCUCUCCAUAGAUAACUAGUUCUCCCUCACUUGGGGUUCGAACUACCACGUGUUGGUCCUCACAAUCCAUCAUAGCACUGAAACAGCUCAGCCAAUCCAUACCCACAAUCACGUAAAUAUCCCCAUGGGGAUAGGGAUCAAAUCGAUUAGAUAAGUCACCCUGAAUAUCUCCAGAAUAAUACCCUUAUACAUUAUUGAUGAAGAAACCCCGUGUUCGUCGGUGAUAGAAACUCACUACGGACACUAUAACUCCCCAAUGGGCAUAGAAAACUCUCUACUGAACGAUCAAGACACAAAGGACCAACUCGCAUCCAAGUCAAAUAACACUAAGUAGGAAAAGAGUUCACUAAGAACGUACCUAACAGAGGCACAUAGAUAAGCAUAACAUAAAGCAUAAUCAAUAGAAUAAUGGAUGGAAACAUACCAGUCACAAUAUCUGGAGCUGCUCUAGCCUCUUCGUCAGUGAGCUGGAAAGCAUGACCUUGAGCCCUCGGGGGCACCUCCUUUCUCUGCUGCCCAUCAGUGAUCCUCAGAGUAGCUGGCGCGGGGGAUUGCACUGGCUUGGCGGCGAGCAAUGGACAGUUGACCUUCACAUGGCCAACCUUGUCACAAUGAUAAAAAAAUCAUGGUACUCAGAGUAGGGGCCAACUGGUGGCAAUCCCUUGCAUAGUGCCCAUCCCUGCCAUAUUUGUGGCACACACCUCCUGAUCGACAAACCCCGUCAUGAACCUUACCACACUUCCUACAAGUACGGCCUUGCUGUCCCCAAGACCUAGAAUCAGCGGCCUUGAACUGCUUCGGUGUUGGUUGAGAAUGCUUCGGGGCUAGUCUCUACUUUCUCGUUUGAAGCUCUAUCUUGAUCUCACGCCCCCUGGCGGACUCCUGCAUCUCCAACAAAGAAUCAUAUCGUUGGGUGGAAACAAACUGUCUGAUAUCCAUCUUGAGCAUGCUCAAGUAACGGGUCAUUUGAGCCUGCUCCGAAGCAAACUCAGGGCAAAAGAUGGCCUUCUUAUUAAACAUCCUGGUGAUCUACGUCACCAACUCUGACCCCUGCCUCAGAUCUAAAAACUCCUAGGCAAACCUCUCGCAAUCUACUCGCGGCACAUAUCGAGUACGGAACAUAUCCGUAAACUGCUCCUCGGAUACCGAAGCCCUUUGCUCAGCAGAAUACAAUCCCGUAACAAGUAUCCACCAAUCCUUCGCUACGUACCUCAGGAGGUUCAGAACACACCUGACCUUCUGGUUAGUUGGGCAAGAGCAGGUGAAAAAGCAUCCCUCAACAUCUGAUAGCCACCUCAUGGCUACGAUCAGGUCAUAAACUCCAUCAAAAGUCGGGGGCUUCGGAUUGUCGAAGUCCCAAUACUGAAAAACCCAACCCGAUCCAACCCAUGCAGCCGAAACGACUAUGGUGGCUACAACAACAACAGUCUUAGACAAAGCAUCAUAACGCUCAUCAAAGUACUUAAUCAUGGCAGUCUUAAUAGACCCAAACAUCUCUGGAAACUGAGCUCGGAAGUGAGCAACAAGCUGCUUCUUUAGGAUCUUUGUGAUCCUGUCACCAUACUAAAAAUAAACCAGGAGGAUAUCAGAUAAUACACAUAUCACAUCAUGGGAACCAACUCCCAACAAAUCCCUAGGGGUUGUGACUUCCCUGUUAUGCGUACGAGUCAUGUGUUUUUAGUAGUACGGGCCCAUACUACCUUCCACACCUACCCAUGUUUGUCUCAGAGGAUCAUCACAACAACCCUAACAAUACACAAUGGCAUAAUCAUGCACUCAUUCCUCACUCCCUAGAUGAAAGGCUAAACAUCUUGAAACUGGCCGACUAACCCCACACAACUCAUCCAUGAAAUUUCCACUAACCUUGCAGCACUCGUGUAUGCUAGUCAUACAUAACAUUGGACCCUAUAGACAGUCGAAUAUCUGAUCCUACCCUAAGCCCUUCAUCAAACAAGAACAGGAAAUAAGGCCAAACCAAACAUUCUCAGGCAAUAGAAUCUUAGUUAUGCAUAACCAUGAUGCAUACACUAAGCAAGUACAAUAAUGAUGUCAAUUCCAUAUAAGAAGACCCUUAGGCUAUCGGGCAUCAUAUAAUCAGGCAAUUCUAUCAUGCAAAUUCUUGAAGAUCCCUAGCUAAUCAUUAGCAUGUUGUUUUAACAUAUCAUAAUAUCAAAUAACAGUGUGGUGUUUUGGGGUCUACUUACUAGCUCCGACAGAUCGUAUACAUCGCAUCCUCGAUUAUUUUGAAAACAUUUUGAAAAUCGUUUGAAAAAUCUUUGUCCUUAGUUUGAGACUGGACUCACACGAGUGUUUCAUCCAAUUCACUCAAACCAAGGAUUUGAUAACAACUUGUAACAUCCAUAAAAUUCAUGAAAAAUAUAAAAAUUUCAAACAUUUCCACAAAACAUCAUUGUUUACAACUUAGUUUUAAACACAUGUUUAUUAUUAGAGUUUUCCCAAAAUCAGAAAACAAAACAGGAGGAGGUGCAUGAUUACGUCUUUGCCUUCCCAUGAUCAUCUGAGGUACCUGAAACAUAACCCAAAACUGUAAGCCCAAAUCUUAGUGAGUUCCCCCAAAAUACCAACACAACACGAAACUAGAAUAAUAACAAUAAACAACAUGCAUACAGAGCCUUCAGUUUGACUGGAAUGCCCCACCGGCCUGCAGUCUACCUGUUACGCUCACAGAAGCUACAACAUGACUGGAACACCACAACGGGCCUUCAGCCUAUCUGGAACAUUCUCCGGGCCUUCGGCCUGACUGGUACGCCCUAGGUUUGUUGGCCUUCAACACAAAGCAUGACCGCCUCAACCCAGCCACACAUACACCGUGUCGAGACACACACACACACACACAUAUAUAUAUAUAUAUAUAUAUAUAUGUGUGUGUGUGUGUGUGUAUGUGUGUGUGUGUGUAUAUAUAUAUAUAUAUAUAUNUACAAUUAAUUAGCCAAUAACUACCAGACAGAUCUUAUAGAUCACUAAGCAUAGCAUCAUCCUAUCUACUGGGAUAUAGAUCACUACAAUACUCAAUCAUAUGGUAAUUAGGAUAACAAUCCAAAGGGCUGACCUUGGUGCCUUCGACCUAUAAGUAUAGUGAGGAAAACUCACCUCACACUGCUGAAUCACACUAAAAGUCUUCGGUUGAUAUCUCACAAAAAUCCUCACACUAUCAUAACAAAAUAAUCAUCCAAUAAUAAUUGGAUUAAAACCAAGGCUAAUAGUCCAUCAUUAGGGUAAAAGGCCACUUUGCCCUUUCCUUAGUUGAGGGUAAGACCCAAGCCUAAAUCUUGAUCCAAAAGGCCCAAAAAUAAACAAUCACUUAAGGCCCAUAAUCAGCCCAAUUUCCAAAUUGGGCCUAAACUCCUACUUGGGCCUUACCCUAAGGUCCAUCUCUUCACUUAGCCCAAAACACCAAUACUCAAAUGGUCCAAAAAGGGCCCAAGCAUCUAAGCCCAAAGAGGUGACCUAAACUUAAAGCCCAGACUCCUAAACCCAAUAGAUUGAGUAUGCGGGGCGUACGCAGUUGUACGCUCAACGUACUUCGCCUGGACCCAUAAACGCGUCGUUGACCACCUACGCCCUGGUACGCCCAGUGUACGUGGUGGCCAUGCAAAACUCCAAAUAAGAGCUUAUUUCAUUCAGUCCAAACGUCCAAUAACCAUAUCCAAGUCCAAAAAGGUGCUCUUAACCACAAAGUUUCCAGCUUUAUGGUUAUACAUGCAUCAUUAACACCCAAAACCAACUUCCUAGUUGGUCUUAACUACUAAGGACCUCUAUACUUUUCAUGCAAGCACUAAAUGAGUCAAGAAGGAAUUUUAAUGACUUAACACAACUCAAAUCUUCUAAAAAUGGUAGCGCCGUUGGUCUUAGAGUCGCAUUUACUUAUUAAGUCCAAGAAAAGGGACAAAACUUAUAUACUCCAUAUGGCUAGAUCUCUAAGAAAUACACAUAAAUUUUAAGACUUUAUACAUUAUGGAGCUUCCCAAAGAGAUGAAGAUAUCAGAUCUACAAGCUUAAAUCCCACACCAAAUUUUCUCAAAUAAUCCUUUCUUCUUUCUUCAACACUAAGAACACACAGACACACUGAAGCUCAUCACACACAACGGCUAGGGCUUCCAAGAUCGACUCAAAGAGCGUGGAGGCUAAAAGGGUGAGGGAAAUGAGGUUAUAAGGGGGAUUAUAUAUGCCUCAACCCUAAAAAUUAGGGUUUUCAAUGUCUGAUGAGUACGCCCCGCUUACAUAGACGUACGCCCUGUGUACUAGGGUGUGCCCUAGUAUGCUAAGCCUACACACGUACGCAUGACAUACUCCCACUCCUUCCAAAUUACGAUCUGCCAUUAGGGUUUCUCGGGGCCACUUCCUUCCAUUACAAGGACCAAAAUGACAUAAAUUAAAACCAUAAAGAUGAAUUGGAAAGUACCUGAAUACCGGGGUGUUACACACAUACACAUACACACACACACACACACACACACUCUCUCUCUCCCUCUCUCCUCGUAAAUUCUUGUGAAAUAGAUGGUGUUUAUCUUCCUGAAAAUUGAUUGAACAUUGUUUCUUGUUGUGAAAAAUCCAUAUAUGUGAAAAUCGAGUAUGUGAAAGUUGGAAUUGUGCUAAUUAUCUUCCUGAAAAUUAAUUUCAGUGAAACUGAAUUUGUUAUUUAUCAAUUUUAUGUUAAGUUCGAUUCCAUAAAAUAUUGUGUUACCGCUAAGGAUCCGGUUUGAGAGGCGUACCUACAGGUACAUCAUAUUAUAAUAUUUUAAUUUUUAUAGUUUAUAAUGAAGCAACUUGUUAAGUGUGUCAAACCCAACAAAUAAAGGGAUACAAAAUGACUCCAAAACACUGUUACUUUGCACUAAAAAUGUAAUACACGAUAAGUAGGGUCGAUCCACAGAAACACGGGACAAAUGCUUAUACCUUUUUGCGCAAGGUACAAUAUGAUCACAAAAGAGGGGGAUUUAAAUGCAAUGAUUCAAAUAAGAGCUAAUUUAAUGAGUAAGCAAUUGAUUAAGUGAAAUAAGUUCAAGAUUUGUAAGUACUCCAACUCUAUGCAAGACAAAUUAGCAAUGUGAUUCCAUGGAUGACAAGAUAUUUAUUUAAUUUUAUCUAAGUUGGUACUUGAAAGUGUUAACAAGCUCUAACACUUCCCAUUCACCAUAAUAAUUAACCAAAACAAGCUCUUUGAUUAAUCCUAACCUUACUAACCUAAUCUAAACAAGCUCUUAGAAUUAGAUUGAAAGGUUGCUUUAAACUUUAUGUGAAUGUUCCCAACAACACUCAAUACUCCUCACAAGCUCGGGAGUGUAAAAGUGUGUGAAAAGAUUUACACGAAAUUCAUUCAAUAGAAAUCAAAUUAGUGCUUGUUACCUAGUCUAAUUUACAAAACAAUUACGGAUUUUUCAAUUAGAUAAAUUGAAUGAUCUAACCCUAAUUCAAAUGGUCAAUAAGAAUCACAAUUAGAAUCAAACAUUCGAUUGAGACAAAAUCAAAUUCACUAGAUAGAAAAUUGAAAGCAAACAUCAAGCCAUAUGAUUGAAAUCACAACUAAGAAGUCAAGACAUGAAGUUGGAGAAACUAGGGUUCUAGCUAAUCAGGGCUAGAACAAGAUCACAAAUCUAGAAAAUGAAAUUAAAGUUCUUACAAAAUGAAAGCAAAUGUUCCCAAGUGUUAAUCAACUUCAAAAUCCUCAAGAAAAUCGAUUUCUCUGCUCUAAAAGUCGACCCCCCUCCCCUUAAAAAAAUCGGUUCCUCCCUUUAAGAAUGGUGAAAAACUGCUUUAAAACCCACAUUUACAUUACACGACCCACGUAAAUUAACACUGUCAUUUACACGGCUCGCGUAAACGCAAAAAUAUACUGCGCAGAAAUCUACGUUUACACGACCCGCGCAAACGCAAGGCUUGCAUUUAUACGGCCGUGUAAAUCUCUGUAAAGCCAAAAUCUUCAUUUAUGUGAUAUCUUGCUCCUCGGUGCUCCGCAAGUCCCGAAAUUUUGUCCGCAACUAUUAUUUACCUCCUCCAACAAGAUCCUACCUCCAAAAGUCCCUGAAAUAUCACAAAAGUAUGUGAAUGAAAUUACCUCAUGAAAAAUCCCGAAAAACAUGCAAAAUGCAUGAAUUUAAGCCUAUAUGCAAUGUACUUUUAUGAAAUAAAGCUACAAAAUGGGUACAUGAAAUGCACCUAACACAACUAUAUGGAAAUAUAUAUAUUUUUUUUUAUAAAUUAUCAUGUUGAUAAAUAGGUUCAUAAAGAAGUAAUUCGAUGGAAACACAAAUCCUUUCCUGACUAUGAAGAUCUUUGCAUUGUUUUUGGAAAAGACCGAGCUCAAGGAAAUAGAGUUAGAGAUUUCAUUGAGAUGUAAAAAGAUGUGAACUUAGAAGAAGAAAUGCAAGAGUCAGAUGAUGAUUUCAUUGAAUAUAAAGAAAUUAGCCAUAGUACAACUAUGAAAAAUGAGAAAACUUCACCAAGUGUUCGUUUCUAAUAAGAUGAAACGUCAUACCAAUGAUGUGUUCCAUAAUGCAGUUGGUUUGGUUACCGAAAGUCUUAAAGAAAUAUCAAAGGACUUGAGUCAAGGUAUUAAAUUUUACAUGAAGAUCAACGAACUGAGUGAGAAGAUCCCUCCGGAGAUUUUGAAUAUGAAUUCAUUAAGUCAAGGUGAGAAGUUCAAACCUUUGACCAAGAUAAUAAAUGAUCCUAGAAACAUACAAAACUUUUGGCAAAUUGAAGAAGGCAAUAGAAAGGUCUGAGUCAAAUACAUUUUGGAAUGGUAGUAUUAUUAAUUAGGAUGUUUAUUAGAAUGUUAAUUCAUAUUUUGGAUUUUUUAAGUUCUUUUGGGAUGUUUCCUAGGAUGUUGCUUAGUAUUUUAGAUUUGUAAGUUUUUGGUAUCUUAGAUAGGGAUGUAUCGAAAAAUUGUUAUGCUUUUUGGGAACGUUAUUAGAAUGCGAAGUGGAAUGACUUUAAGUUAUAAUGCUUACUAACAUAAUUUUCGUAAUAUGUUGACAUGAAUGCUCAAUCAAUAAAUUAAAAUUUUACUAUUUUAAUAAUUUAUAUAAUAUAUGUUUACGUGUAACUUAGAAAACAAAGUAAAAUAAAGCAAAACAGACAAAAAGAUAAUUUUGUCAUUUUACAUGAAUUCCAAUUCCGUUUCCUACGAACCAAACAGAAUCUGAAAUUAAUUCCAAUUUCAUUUCCUGCCAACCAAACAACACAUGGAAUUGGAUUCAAAUUCAUGAAAAAUUCCUUUCCAACUCCAAUUCAAAUUCCUUUAGCAACAUUUUGGGAACCAAACAACACCUAAGAUGUUAAAGAAAAUCCCAGCUAGGGUACUGUAACAUCCCAAAAAUUAUAAGGUAAAAAAUUUAUUUUUAGUUCAACCAUAAACACCAUUUAAUAAUUUCAAUCAUUUAAAGGUACAUCAGACUAAAAUAUUUAUCAUAGUACAAUUCCCAAAAUCAUAGAGUGUGGAAACAUAGGUGGAUACGUUGUGAUCAAGCCAGACCAUUCCCUCACGAACCGAGAUUACCUCAAAAACAUUUCAAACAAAUACCGUAAGCACGAAGCUUAGUGAGUUCCCCAACAUACCACAUACCAUAUAUAUCUACUAUCUCAAGGUUGUGUCGGGUCUAUUUCACCCCUGAGUCCAUUUCAACUCAUGUGUCGGCCCAAGGCGGUACCGGGUCUAUUUCACCCUCGAUCCUAUUUCAUCCCCAAGUCUAUCUCAACUCAUAUGUCGGCACUAGGCUAUAGUGGGUCUAUUUCACCCCACAUACAUAUAGCAAAUAGACAUAUAGACAUACAUACAUACAUACAUACAUACAUACAUACAUACAUACAUACAUACAUACAUACAUACAUACAUACAUACACACACAUACAUACAUACAUACAUACAUACAUACAUACAUACAUACAUACAUACAUACAUACAUACAUACAUACAUACAUACAACAAGAGUCACAAAAGACUACAAACGCAUACAAUCCUAAUGCCCUACGGUAUAGUGAGCAAACUCACAUCAGUCCACUGACAAUCCAACAGAUGAUCAAGCUACUAGACCUAAGAAUCCCCAUGCUAACCAAUCAAAAAUAAUCAUGAUUAAUAAUCAAGUCAUAACCAUAAUCGAGACUGAAUUCACUAAUCCCGACUUCUAGGGUAAAAGACUAUUUUUACCCUUCCCUUCAACUGGCCCAAAGACCAAGGCCUAAACUCAAUAGCACUAAAAGCCCAAUAACCUGCCCAAAUACAAAAGACACCUAAAGGCCAAUAUAGACUCAAUUCCAUAAAGGCCCAACUAAAAGCCCAAAAUGUAAACUAUCCAUCCUCACGUUGUGACCAGUCCUUGGUCACGUCGUGAGAUCCUGUUCGAUCCAAUCCAACUCAUCCCGACUCAGCUUAGUCAAUUCAUACAUGAAAAGUCACCGGAGCUAACCUCACGUCAUGAGAAUCCUCCUCCCAUGUCAUGAGAUGCAAGAAGCUAACCAGAAAUGGGGUCAUUCAAUCCUCACAUCAUGAGACCCCAAGUCCAAGUCGUGAGAACAGUCUGAAGCCAAAAGUCCAACUUUUAAGUCCUUAAUUUGUUAAGCCUUGUACCCAAAUUUCCAGAGGGUCUUAUAACUCCAUUAUGUACUGGAAAGUCGAUGCUUUUGGGACAUAUAUUUCCAAUACACGUCUAAAUCUCAUUUGGGUCAAAAGUUAAAGAAACGACAUCUAACUUUCAUGCAAGGUUCCAGAACUCAACCAUUCACUAGAUCUGAACUCUAUAUCACUCUUAAGAUCCUAAUAACACAUAAAGUUGCCAACUUUAUGCUUUCUAUUCAUCAAACUUACACAACCAAGAAGAAAAGUGGCAAAAAACUUAGAUCUAUCUUCAUUAAACAAUAAAGGAUGAAUCUUUGAUACUCAUAAUGGUUCAGAAACAAUGUAAGAUGAUGAAGAUGAAGAUUCCUUGCAAGCCUCAACACAAGAUCACCUUCUUCUUCUUUUCUCCUUCUUCCAAGCCAAUAAAAGCUCCAAAAUGAACAAAGAUCAAGCAAGGAUGAAGACUAGGGUUUUUCUAAGGUGCAAGAGGAUUUGGGGCUGAUAAGAAACCCUAAAAUGAGUUUAGAGAUGCUUAAAUAUGAAGGAAACCGUAAAAUGAUCGUGGGCUUGGACUGCAUCAGCUUUCACGUCGUGAGCCUCUAUGUCUCACGUCGUGAUACUAGACCCGAACAAAGGUUUUCAUUUAGCCUAUUGUCACAUCGUGAGGCUCCUUUCGUAACGCCCUGUGUAGAAUCAUUUCCUAAUGCGGGGCGGUGACCCGAAGAUCGGUUAUGAUCAAGCUUGGGGUCUUUGAGGGAAUGAGAUUCAGACCCAUUUGGGUGUAGGUGAUGUAAGUUGGAUGAUUUGGGAGUUCAUUUUGUGUUUUGGAGCCAAGGGGUUUUUCAAUAAAGUGUCAGUUCGGGCUUUUAUGAAAAUUGGAUUUUUGUUAGGGAAGUUUUAAGGAAAGUAUGAGUUGAUUGAAGUGUAGAGCUUCUUGUUACCUCAUCGUGGAUAUAUGGAUCGUCAGAAACGAACUUAUAACAAAGAAAAUUAUGGCCUUCGGAAGAUUGUAGGGUUCAAGGCUAAGGUCAGUAUGCAGGGUGUACAUUAGUGUACGUUGGGUGUACUAAGCAGUUGGAUCAUGACACUUAAGGGAAAUAUGCUAAGUGUAGUGGGAGUACGCCGGGCGUACUCCAGAUUCAUGCAAACCCUAAAUGAGGAUCUUCGACCCUAUAUAAGCUCAUUAUCUCUUCACCAAACCCUAAUACCUUCAUCCUCCAUCACUUUUUAACCCUAGAUUCGAACCCCAAGUGCAUUUUGGUGAUUUUGAGCUUGGAAGUGUUUUGUGAGUGUUUUGUGAAGAAGAAGAAGAGAAUCACUUGGAGGAGUGGCUUGAGCUUAUAGAUAUAGUAGUAUCUUCCCAUUUGCAAGCUCUCUAAGGUAAAAAGCUUAUACCUUGAUGUUCAUUUUGUUUGGAUCUGCUUUGUGGUGUUUCUUUGAUAUUAUUGAGUCCCUUGAAGUAAAGGUGAGCUUUUGAUCUACUCCAGUAGUAGUGGAUGUUAGAUCUAAGCUCCAAUAAGGUCUCUUGUUCAUAAAAAUGGAAACUUUAUGGGAGUUGUUGGUCCAUGCAAGUAUUAAGACCCUUAUUAAGUUCCUUUCUAAGUGUUGAGUCCUAAUUAAGGCAUGUAUAUGAGUAAAGUUGGCAACUUUAUUGGUUAAGACCUUGUCUAGGGGCCAGAUCUAUGUUUUGGACAUCUUGGAUUAACCCAUUAAGAGCUAAAUGUGGGUUUUGGACUUCGACGAGUACAUUGGGCGUACGAGGAGGUACAGCCAGCGUAAUGUUGGGGGUACACAUCAGACGUUUGUACUUUGUGUAUCAUCGUCGUGCACGUAGGGCGUAUGUCUCGAGUACGUAGGGCGUACUCCCUAGUUCAGCAAAAAAUUGGGCCUUUUGAGUUUGGCCCUUGUUGGGGCAUUGGGCUUUUGUUUUUGGGCCAUGGUUAGGUUGAGGAAUUUCUUGGUAAUGGUCCCAUGAGAGUUUUAGGCCCAAUUUGGAAGUUGGGCCAUAUUCAGCUUGGGUUGCCAUCUUGGGGCUUCGGUGUUUUUGGGUUGGACCUUGUUUUUGGGCCAAAUGAGAAAUGGAUAAUUUGGGUUUCGGUUGAUUAUUGAUUGAGUUUUGUAUUUAUUGUUUGUUGACGCGAACUCAUCCGGUUCUGCGACCUGAGCAUCCAUUAUUUAUCAGCGGAUUGAGAUGAGUUUCCUCACUGUGUUUAGUGGGUUGAAGGGACCAAUUCCAGACCAUGGCUUAUAUGUUAGGAUGCUAGAAUUUUGCGCGACUCUUGCAUGUGUUAUGGUAUGCUUACCGGGCAUGACCCGAUGCCAGGUGGGGCCUAAUGAGUAUAUUGUAUGCUAGUUAUUUGUAUGUGUUUUUUGCUUACUGUGCAAGACUCGAUGUUGGGUGGGGCUUGAUAACUGUAUGAUAUGCUAUUGUCUUCGUGAAUAUCACAUGUGUUUGUAUGGUUAUAUGUUUAUAUGCUUAGAUGUGUAUCGGGCGAGGGCUGAUGACUGACAGAUCUGUAUACCGAGCGGGGUGCGAUGUCGGGCGGGGCUCGAAGAAGGGUGGGGGCCUAGUAUGUGGUUAUUAGUUAUAGUAUGUGGUAUUUUGUGGAACUCACUAAGCUUCGUGCUUACGACUUUAUGGUUAUGAUUUCAGGAACCAUCGGUUUAAAAGGGAAGGGCCUGACUUGAUCGCAACACAUCCACCCAUGUUUUCGCAUUAUGUUUUUUUGGAUUGUACUCUGAUAACCAUUUUCUUAUAAAAUUACCUUUGAAUAAUUGGCUAGGAAGAUAUUGAAUGUUGAAUUAAGGAUAAUUAAUGUUUUGAUUGAAUUAAAAAUGAAAUUUUUACCUCAUAAUUUUGGGUUGUUACAAGUUGGUAUCAGAGCCUUGGUUUGAGGAAUUUGGGCACACUCUUGGGUGUGACUGAACUCUAACUGAGGAAUUGUUAAUUUUUUAUAAAAAGAAAAUGAGUUCUAAAAAGAUUUUUCUAAAAGAGAAGAAAUUUCUUAAAGGAUUUUUGUAAAGACACAGGGAGUGUGGUGCAUGCAAUCGGCCGAGCUCAAGUAAGUGAUUCCCAGAAUACCCAUACAUGUUUUUUAUGAUGAUAUGUUAUGAGAAUUGCAUGCUAGGAUGAGGCUAGGGAUACUUUCAGGAAUUGGAUGAUAGAUCGGCCUUAUAUGUGAUGCCUUGUGGCCUAGGAACCAUUGGAUUCUAUGCUAUAUUAGGAAUAUGUAUUGGUAUCAAUAAUUGCUAAGUGUAUGCUUUAAAAAUUGUAUGCGGUUAGGAUCAUAUAGCCCUAGAAUGAUUGAUUUGGCCUUAUUUUCUGUUCCUCGUUUGGUUGUGGUCCUGGGGUAGAGUCUUUUAUUCGACAGUCUAUUUGAUCAUGUAUUGUGUAUAAUUUGCAUGCAUAAGGUAAUCGGUAGUGAGAAUGGAAGUUCCUAGCAUGAGUUGUAGUAUGUGAGUUUGAAUGUUCUUGUUCAUCCAAUGGAUUAGAGUGCUACUACAAGAAUAUUGAUUGCUUUGUGGAAAUCUUAAGUGAUGUGAGUUAAUUAUUAAGUGAAUAUGUUAAGUCACAUGUGACAAAGGUUGAAUAAUCUCAGAGUGAUGGAUUUGAACCUAUUGUGCGAUUCUCGUUUGUGUCUAACCAUUAUUGGGAUGCGUCUUUUACUUGAAGGAUUAUCUAAGCUUUGUUGCAUGUGAUUGUAUUCAUGAGGUAGUUAACUGACAUUAUGGGGAGUUCUACAGCAGUUGAUGGCAGGGAGAGGUCAAGAACAUAGGAAAGCCUAGGAAGUGCUUCAAUAGGUUUAGUUGUGCUAUUUAGCGAUCUUUUAGAGUAUCUGUUAAGGUGCAAAGUCAUGCUUGGAUGUAAUGUUUUAGGCUUUCCUCUUUGUAUGUGUAAAUGGGUUGAGUCUUUCCUAUAAAUAGGAAGUGAGUGACUCCCAUUAAGUAAGGAAUCAUUUGGAGUGUUAGACUAGAGAGAGAAUUUGUAUACAAGACCCAUUUAUAUAAUCUUUCUAGAUCUAAUAAGAGCUUACAAAGAUUUAUUUACUCCAUGUGUUCUUGAUUUUACAUGAUGAUUCACUAGAUCUUUCAUAUUCCGCACAUGCCAUCAUAAUCACCACAACAACAAUUGGUAUCAGAGCGGGUGUUCUUGAUUUUCAUCAAGAAUUGAUCCUUGAUGGCUAUUUUGAUUUGGUGAUUCUUAUUGUUCAUUGAUCUUCGUGUUUAGAGAGUGUUUUUGUGUUCUAGAAGUCGAAUUUUUCUUUGAUUUGAUCCAUAAUUCGACUUUCUCUCUCUAGAAUACUUGUUUGUAUCACUUUAUCUCUCUAGAAAACCCAUUCAAAAUCACUUUCUCUCNUCAUAUUCACUUUCUCUCUCUAGAGAUCUCCUUGAUUUACACUUUCUCUCUCUAGAAAACUCAAGUUCAUAACAUUUGAUUCAAAAUAAAAGAAGCAAUUAUGGAGCAAUGGUUGGUUCGGAAUGAAAGUUUUCUAUACGUAUACACUUCUUUUGAAUGCAUUCUUUAUCGAAUGACUGUUGGAUUGCAAAGUGAAGAUGCACUUAUGUCAAAUGGAGAAAGGGAUGGAAAGGGAGAUUUCAUUGGUUAUCCAAUUUAUCAAAACAAAGAUUUGUUUGAUCGAUUGAUUACAACAUAUCAAGAAAGACGAAGAAAUAAGAGGAAUGGUGAAGUCAUAAAAGGAAUUCUUCUUGCUAAUUGUAAACCGGGAAGAAAUAGACUUGAAUAUUAUGCAAAUUGUCGUGAAGCUCAAGAACAUGUUCUUGAUGAUGUUCAUCGUGUUCAUGAUGUUCAAGGAAAAGAAGUUCAAAACAAUGGAGUUCAAUGUGAUGUUCUUGAUGUUCAAGAAAAAGGAGUUCAAGUUGAUUCUCAUGAUGAAAAAGUUUUUUGCUCAAUUGGAGUUCAAACCGAUGAUAUUUUGUGUUAUUGUGAUUCGUUUGAAGGAAUGAUUCCUUAUCGGAAGCCGGUGAUCCAAGAAAAUCACAAGUAUCAAACUCCAAAAGAUUUGAUUCAAACUCAAAAUGUUCAUGUUGUUGAAAGUGGGUUUGUUCAUGAAGUCAAGUCUUCAAGAUGCAAAAAGAUGAGAAAGAAAAAGAAGAAGAAGAUGAAUCGGAAGAACAAGCGGGUUUACUCACAAAAAUCGUCAUAUGUUGUGAAGCCAAAAUCCGUGAAGCAAAUUUGGGUUCCAAAGCAACAAUAUCCAAAGGUUGCAUUGAAUUUGAAGUUAAAACCCAAAAGUGUUGGUGGUUCUUUUGAAGAUGUUCUUGGAUCGUUGAAGAACAUGAAGAACACGAAGAACGAGUUGUACAUCUCGCAUGGUGGGUGGUCCAAUGUUCGAUUUGGAGAUUUUCUCAUUCCGACAAAAGAACCAAGAUCUUCCAAAUUUGAUUCGUUCGUUGAAAACGGAACUCGAUUCGUCAAAAAGGUAUCUCAAAUUCUCAAAUGGAUUCCAAAACGUCCAUGAUUUCGAUUCGUAUUUUGCGUUUUUCAUUUUUGAUCGGUUUGCCUCAUUGGAUCUAAACUGUUUCAACCCCAUUCUUGAUCCAAUUAUUUUUUUUUAUCAAAACCAAAAUCAUAUUCUCAUGUUUCUUUUGCAUUUCGAAAUCAAAAUUUGUUUUGUUUUGGUUCGAAACACUUACUAUUCUGCUCAUAGAUCCAAAUAUUAAGCCCACAUUAAAAUCUCGAUUACUGUUCAUGUUAAUUUCUCUUAGCCCAAUCCAACAAUCUAAUAAUUUUUGAUGUUCAUUACUAAUCUUGAGCCCAAAUCUUGAUAUUUCAAUUUAUCAAUCCAUUGAGCCCAACUUGAUAUCAGUUCAUUGAUCAUUAUCUUGGUAUCGUUAUCUCAUAUUCUCGGAUUUCCGACUUUGAUUCAACAAAGUCAAAAUUGAUAAAAUCGGAAUUUGAUUUGCGUUGAGUUGGAAUCAACGUUUACUUGCUAGUUCGUUGAGUUAGUUGAAGACGAAAGCAAUCUUGGAACUGAAAUCUGUUUCGAUCGUAUUGGCGGUUCAAUUAUCUAUGUCGACGAUUGAAGCAUUGAGAUCGAGGGUCGAGAAAUUGAAGUGGGACUGUGAAUUGAUAUUGAAAUUAAAGCGUUAACGUCGAUGGUCACCUUUAAUUUUGAUGGAGUAAGAAAUCGAUGUUGGUUAACAGAUGGGUUGAUAACAAAUAGAGGAAAUAAUUUGAUUGUUGAUUUUGAUAGUUGUAGGAGUUGAAUGCUAAAUUCAUUUGGUAUCGACAGUGAAACGUUAAUGUCGACUACUUUGGGUUGAAAUCGAUUGAAUUUGGUGUGCUUUACUGAUUCGUAAUCGAUGGAAUUUUGGGGUCAAUUUAUUGAAAAUUUUCGAAGCCUUAGUUCACUGUAAGUUGUUUGCAGAUUGUCGACUGGGAAAUCGAUGUUUGCAAAAGAAUGAAAUUUUGAUUUUGGGUUGAUUGGUGAUGUAUGAAGGGUUCCUGUAUGGACGAUGGUUUGGAGUCGAUCAAUCAAAGCCUUGGUUAUAUGAUCGAUUGGUUGGAGUUGGAUGUGAUAAUGAUUCGAAGGGUUGUGAUGUUAAGAACGAAUGAAUUAUUUGAGUACUUGAACAAAAAGCGAAUACCUGUGAUUUGGAAUAGUUGGAUUUUGAACAAAGGGUUCAUAUAUGAUCAAAUUUUGAUUUGUGAUUUCGAAUGUUUGAUGUCGGAUCAGAGUUAGUUUCUUGAAGCCGGAAUGAAUUUGGAAUCCGUCAACAUUCAACUGAAGUGUUUUGAUAGAUCUAAUAGUUUGAAGGAUUAGAUGAGAAAGUUCAAUUUUUUAUGGAUCGAAGAUUUGUUUGGAUUUGGUGAUGAUAUACAAAGGGUUCCAGUGUGUUUGAUCGAUUUGGGUUGAUAGAUUCGAAGGGUGUGUUGAUUUUAGAUUCGAAGGGUUAAGAAUUGAUUUGGGAAGAGAAGACCUGUAAAACGAGAUCUGUGAUUUUGUAUUUGGGGAAAAAACGAAGCCUUGGUUAUUUAAUCUUGAGGUUAAGAAACGAAGGGUAUAUGGCUGAAUCUACGAAGGGUCGGUGAUUGAACAAACGAAGGAUGGUUACUGUUCAUAGACAGGUCUUCGUAUGCUUCGUACUUCGUGAAUUGGAGUCUUCGAAAGAAUAGAGCAAAUGAUAAAGUUUCGAAAACAGCCCCUGAACCUUCGAUUUGUUGACACUUCAAAAAUUAACACAAGUUUCGAAUGAUUGACACUUUUCACCCAAAUUCGAAAUUUUUUGGAAGCUUAGAAUUUUGUGGAAUCUUCGUAUGAAUUGUGAACAAAGAGCAGAAUUUCGAAGAUGGUCCCUGAAACUUCGAAUUUUGUGCAGUUUUCAGCCAAAUUCGAAAAAGGACUAUAUUUUGAUGAAAAUUGAAGAAAGUGCAUUUCAGGCCCCUACAGUUUGUGCAAAUUGACGCUUUCUACCCAACUUUGGAAAAGGGGGAGAGUUUUUCAUAUUUGGCUGUUUUGGGCGCAACGGGUCCCUGCAAGUUUCAGAAAGUGACAAUUUCUACCCGAAUUUUGAAAAAUCUUGCAACUUUCACUCAAAAAGUCAAAAUUUUUCAUAAAUUGGAAAUUUUUGUGGCUUUUUCGUGAUUGUUUUUUCGUGCAAGAUUUUUGGUGAUUCAUUUUUGGUACACAUCAAGGGGGAGUAUUGUGAAGACUAUUCCUCGGGCGCUUCUCAUCCUUAGUGGGUUUUAUAAUCAUUUUUUGAUUAUAAAAAGGGGGAGAAUGAUGGGUAUUCGAAGCUUCUCGGGAUUGUCGUAUAUUCAUUUGCGGAUUUGAAGACCGGUGUUACUUCGAGGGGGAGUUUGGUCUUGAUCGCGCUAGCUCGUUGGAGAUUAAAGCCGGACAUCCAAUCCUAACUUUGAGGGGGAGAAUGUUAGGGUGCAAAGUCAUGCUUGGAUGUAAUGUUUUAGGCUUUCCUCUUUGUAUGUGUAAAUGGGUUGAGUCUUUCCUAUAAAUAGGAAGUGGGUGACUCCCAUUAAGUAAGGAAUCAUUUGGAGUGUUAGACUAGAGAGAGAAUUUUUAUACAAGACCCAUUUGUAUAAUCUUUCUAGAUCUAAUAAGAGCUUACAAAGAUUUAUUUACUCCAUGUGUUCUUGAUUUUACAUGAUGAUUCACUAGAUCUUUCAUAUUCCGCACAUGCCAUCAUAAUCACCACAACAACAAUAUCGGUUUGAGAAGAUGACUUAAAGGAAUUGGGAUGAUUCUCGAGGAAAGUUUGGAUAGGUGUGGAAGGUAGUAUUGGGCCCAUACUACUGAAAGCACAGGAUCCAUACUUGAAUAGGGGAGAGUCUUGGAUAAUCUAGGAAGCCUGUGGUAUGUGGAUUAUUGGGUAUGUUCUGAUUAUCGGUAUGAUUGUUUUGAGUCGCUAUGGCGAUGAGCACACUAGGAGGAGGUUCAGGUUUUGGUCCAAGGUCAGGUGCAGGUAACGAGUCGAUUGAUGAGCAGAUGCGGGGGUUCAUCUCGUCGAAUAUUACCUGUGGUAUUUUGGGAGCAUACUCAUGUGAUCUUUGGUACGGUCAAGGAGGGGAUUUUGGAUGAGUGUCUGGGCGCAUUUCGUACCGAGGUUAUGGCUAUUGUUGGAGCUCGAUCUCUUUCAUUCCGUAAGUUCCAUGCUUGUGGAGGUCCCAAGUUCUUUGGGGAGAAGGACCCCAUUGCCAGUAAGAGAUGGUUAGCAGAUAUGGAUAAUGCUUUCAAGACGAGUUUCUACCCCGAGGGUUCGAAGGUCAGAUUUACCUCCUGUCUUCUGAAAGACAGAGCCCGAGAUUGGUGGGAGGAGGUAGACUUCACUUUGGGAGGCGAAGCCCUAGAGACGAUGACUUAGGUUGAGUUGUGACCCUGUUUAGGGCCAAGUUUGCACCAUCUAUUGAGAAUUAACAGUUGGCGAGGGAGUAUCAGGACCUUCGCCAAACGACUGUGACUGUGGCAGAGAUCACUGCCAAGUUUCGGGAAUGGGCUUUGUUGGUUCCAUAGUAUGCAGAGGACCAUGAGAUGAAGAAGGUAAAGUAUCAUGUCAUGUUGAGGGAUGACAUCAGGGAGUUUGUGAGUCUGUCAGGGUGUGAGACCCUGAAUGCUAUGAUUGCUAGAGCUUGGGGGUGUGAGAUUGAUUUAGAGGACCUCAAGAAGAGGAAGCCAAAGUAGACUCAGAUUUUAGUGUACUAGGUGAGGAGGCCCAAGACUCAGGAUUCACGUUUGAUAGACCAUCAGGGUCGGGGCCGUUAUACCAAGUGUGGGAGGACCCACGAGGGAGGAUGUCGGGGGACACGCCGAGGAUGUUUCAGUUGUAGUUAGAUGAGUCAUUUUAGUAGGGCCUUUGAGGAUCCAACGGUUGUGAGGGUAGGACGGGAGCCCCAAUAGCAAAGAUCCGAGCAUUGCAGUGUCAGUCAGGGCAGGCCAGAGUAUUAGCAGAUGAUUUUGCGUGCAUGUUAUCUUUUGCUUUCUUCAUGCUUAUAAUCAACAUUUAUAUUGCUUUAGAAUCUUGUAUUGGUUUGGUAAGCAUUAUCUUUGGUUUAGUUCUCCAGUAUAGAUUGGGUUAUAUCAUCAAGAAUUGUUAUAUGCCAUUUUUCAUGCUGAGAUUCAUUAGUGGGUCGUAUCUUACUGAGCGAGUUUCAGCAGAUGCUUUUACAGGCAUGUUAUCUUUUGCUUUCUUCAUGCUAAUUAUCCGUAUUUAUAUUGCUUUGGAAUCUUGUAUUGGUUUAGGUAAGCAUUAUCUUUGGUUUAGUUCUCUGUUAUUGAUUGGGUUAUAUCAUCAAUAAUUGUUAUAUGCCAUUUUGCAUGCCAGGAGUCAUUAGUGGGUCGUAUUUUACUGAGUGGGUUUUGGUUUGUUCGGUUGUGGUUCCAGUUCUUUGAAGGGGUCACUUCAUGGGUAUCGUUAGAAGGUCUAUGGUCGGAUUAGCUGGUUGGUUUCCAUAAUGAAGUCAGAGUUCAUUCGUGUUAGCAUUGGUGGCGGUAGGAUCGACAGUCGUCCAUGGAAGGACCUUUGGGUUCAAUCGCUACCAUUGCUAGGGAAGGAAUGGAAGCAAGAAGAUGGUGGUGGUAGUCACAUGGGUCUUUUUGGUCACUGGAAGAGCCAGGGGAAUUUUAUAAUCGCAAGGUUGAAGAUGGUUUGAAUUCAGAGACGCUUCUGUGGAUGGGAAGUUAGAGUAAGGAUUCUCCAGUUCAGAGCAAGGGUUAUGGUCUUUGUCACCAACAUAAAGGACUUAAGAAUUUGGUAUUGUAUCAUAGGAAUCUAUUGGGGUUAUUGUGCUUGCUAAGAUUUCGGGGAGUAUUUAUCCGGAUUUCAAGAGUUGUGCGAUCAUCAGGAUUGGAUAGUAAGGAAUGCGAGUUCUUGGUAAGCUCAGGUCGUCAACGAUGCGAUUUAUAAGGAGGUAAGAUGCGUUGGGAAUCCAUCAAAUUUUGUGGGUUAGGAGAGCUUCGACGAAUCCAUGUGGAGGAGAACCAUUCAAAUUUUUGGAAGUUGAAUCAGGUGUGAAACUAGGGUGAGUUUCACAUCCCAGUCGGGAGGGAAGACAACUCAAGUGGGUGUCUGGAUUGUAGUUGUGUAGGUUGGGAGUUCAAGAAACUUCCAACAACUGUUUGGCGUCUUCUUUGUGAUGGAUAUCAGGCAUGUGGAUGGAUCCAGGUUGGGGGUUAUGUUAGAGCCUCGCUGCCUGUUCUUGUUUGAUAAAGGCUUUUGGGUUCGAAGCAUGCCCCAAAAACCUGAUUUGGGUACAAUCGGAUGCGGGUUCAACGCAGGAUGAUUGUGAUUGAUAUGGUAAAGGUGUGGUAAGACCAUAGAUGGUGAUCAAGGCGGGAUAGAUGUGUCAUAAGACUACGAGGUGGUCGUAGCGUUCACUGGGUUGACAGAUAGUAUGGAAGUGUUGUAAGUUUGCGAUGGGAUCGGAACAUUCACCAGAUCGAGGUAUACCAUCAUGUUAGAUUAGGUGUCUAAGCCCAUAACUAUAAUUGAUAUGUACUUGACCCGAGAGUAGCAUGGUUCAUUUGGGUUGCCUUCACCAGAACAAUCUGAUAGGAUGGAUAUUUGAGAAAGAGGUUAUUUAUGAUUUAUUAAUAUAUUACAAGUAUAAUAUAUUAAUUGUGAAAUCAUAUUAUUUAAUUAGUAUUGAUCAAGAAAUAAUUUGGAAUUAAUUUAGUGAUCAAAAGAGACUAAUUAAAUUAACGGGGACUGAUUAUGUAAAUCAGUGAUAUAUAUAUAUAUAUCACAAUAUAGAGCAGCCCUUUUGAGCCUUUCCCUUCUUUUUCUUUGAGCUUGGNUAUAUAUAUAUAUAUAUAGUGUUUAGGCUAUUGAUCCAUGUUGGGCUAAGUUUUAUGUAAGUAUCCACGAAGAGUUAGCCCACAUGGGAUAUGAAUCAUAACCUAAGUGUAUGGAUUAGGGUUUACCCAUGACUCUUGCAAGCCUACACUAUAUAUAUGUUAUCCCUUAGCCAAAAUUGUUGACCAUGAGCAUCACACUUGAGGUGUUAAGCUCUUGAGAGGCCAAGAACUAGAAACUACAUCAAGAGGUAUUCAUCUAACUUGAUUUUAUAUGGUAUAUCCUCUAUGGUAUGCUAAUUAGGAUGUAUGCUUUGGAAAUUUCAAAAUUGCAUGUAUAAUUAGAGAAAACAUAGAUCUAAAGCAUCUAGGGUUGCAUGUGCACCAUAUGAGUGUUAUAAUGCUUAAAACCCAGCAGUGGUAUCAGAGCCUAAGAUUUUUUUCUGUUAUAUUUGAUGUUUGGUUAUUUUUCGAAGCUGAAAAUUUGAUUUUCUGGCCUCUGACUGAUGGACUCGUCAAGUCCAAUGCCUGACUCGACGAGUUCACUCACUAAAAGGGCAACUCGACGAGUCCAGUUCAUGUACUCGUCGAGUAGAGGCUUCUGGUUGCAAAAUUUCAAGUUUUUGGCCAGAAUUAGAUUAGGAUCAUUACCACAAACUGUUUUAUAUCAUAAAAAUUUUAUUUUCUAAUUUGGUGAUGAUGAUCCUCAUCCAAUUAAAGGACAAUUGUCAAAUUUUAAGAUAAUAAGAUAAUUAUUUGUAUUAUUUGAUAUGAAUUGCCUUGCUAUGAGUUCGAUUAGAUCAAUAGUGAAAUUAUAUGAUAAUGUUGUAAGUUAAAAUUGAUCUAAGUUGUUCUCGAAGUGAGUUUUGUAACUUGUCCUCAAGUUAUAUGAAGAGUCUCAUUCAUGAACAUUAAAACUUAUGAAUUUUCAUAAGUUAUGGAAAUGAAAAGGUUUUCAAGAGUUACAAAACUUGCCCUCAAGUUUUGGUAUUUGAAAAGUCUCAAAUUAUGAAAACAUUAACUCUAGUAUUUGAAAGGUUUCAAAAGAUGCAACUCUUGGGUUCAUAACUGAAAAAUUAAUUAAAUAGUUUUAAUUUUGAAUUUUUAAUAACCUAGAUGCUUUGAAUAGUUCAAUUACACCUUAUGGAAUUUAUUAAAUUAAUUAAAGUGUUUAAUUAAAGGUGAAGAUUAAUAAAUCCAUAACAACAUGGUUUAAGUUUAAUUAAAUUAAGAGUAUAAUUUAUUAAAAUAUUAAACCUCCUAGUAUUUUAACUGUUUAAAAUACACCCUUAUACUAUAUAAAAUUAAAAGUUUAAUAUAUUAUAUAUGUAUAAGUAAAAGGUCAGUCUUACCGUUAGUAGGCCUCAUUCACGAAGCCGGUCUAUAAAGGGGGUAUAAGGUUACUGCCUAUAAAAUGGUGGUUUAAUGGGUGUCCACUCUCACCCACCGCUUCCUUGACUGGUGGAGGGUCGUUAGCCGAACGGGUAGGAUAGGACAUUAAUUAUCAUUAAAAGUAUAAUGAAAUACCAAGUAACUAAAUACUUUAUAAAUUCUCAAUCUUAGUUACUUAGCAAAAAUGUGAAUUUGAUGCAAACCCUUGAAAUUGCACAUUGCACCUUAUUAGUCGUUAGUGGAGCGUGUAUGGUUAACUGACACACUAAUAUGGGACUAAUGAAGGAUGAAAAUGAGUAGCUCGAUGUUAAUCAUGGAUCAAUGGAGCUUGUGUGGUUAACCGGCACACUGAUUAGGUGAUUUGUAACAUUAAGUGUACCAAGCUAAUUUGCAUGGUUAUUCACACCUUGUUUGUGAUCCUCGGCAUCCUAGUCACAAACUUGAAGGGCAUAAUCGAGAUUUAAACAUGUCAUUGAAAAUUUCAAUGAAUCUCAAAGAAUCUAGGAAUGUCAAUUCAUUUAAAACCUAAAAUUCAUAUUCGUUUUUCAUGGUGGAAAUUGGUAAAUCGUCAUUUACCUACCUUCAAAUAUUUUACAAUUGGAUUAUGGCAUCCGUCUUCCGAAUUGUAGAAUAUUGUGUUGGGUCCUAGCCUUAAUAUUUCAUUUUGGGUGUUAUAUUAAGGACUUAAAUCAACUAACUUGAAUUUCUCACAUGUAGAUGUCUAGUUCAGACAACUAUGAUCUUCCCGAAUCUUUUAGAAAAAGCUUUCCACAUAAAGAUGAUAUUCCUCAUUAUCAUACUUCACUUCCUCCACCUCCUCCAAUUAUUCUCCCUAACCCACAAGUUCAAAGAAUUGAAAAGUUCAAGGUCACUCAAGCCCUAUUGGCUAGCAAACACCAAGAUGGAAGGUCUGUGUGUGCACAUGUCUUGGAGAUGAAGUCACACAUUGACAGGCUGGGAAUGUUACGAGUCAUUGUGUCAAGGAAGUUGGCUGUUGACUUGGUUCUUCAAUCACUUCCUAAGUCAUAUGGCGAGUUCAUUAAAGAUACUAUAUGACAUACCACGACAUAUUCCUUAUCAAUCUUACCUAUUUUCUAAUUGCUGCUGAAUCAGCAAUGAUGUGACGCACUGGUAAUGCAAAUUUGAUUGGAAGAUCUACUUCCCAAACUUCCAUGGAUAUUGACAAUGGAAACAUUGGAAGUCCAGAAAAGAUUUCUCUUUCCAAGGGAAAGGGAAAGGCUAAGUCUGAGAUUGUACCGUGUACCAUUCCAAAAGAAUUUGUUUGCUUCUAUUGCCAAGAGAAGGGGCAUUGGUUGCGAAGCUGUCGUAUCUAUCUGAAGGACCACAAGAAUGGUAAAGUCAAAAAGUUUGACUCUGGUUCAGUUAAGUCCACUAUCUAACUCUAAUAAGUUCUUGUUUGUAGAUUCUUAAUACAUGAUGUGAUAAGAUUACAUUUUGAUGUUUUGUAGGAUCAAAGGAAGAUUAAAGGAAAAGAAUGUUGAGUCUGAUUGCGAAGAGAUGGAUUUCAAUCGCAUGAUGAUCGGAUUUUUGAGCUGAUGCUAGAAGUUAUGAUAAAUUUGCUUAGGAAUAUGUAGUAACAUAGUUUCCAUUUGUAAUUGAAUUAUAAGUACAGAUUUAUCCUCAUUUUGUAAAUAAAGAUAAAUUUUGAAUUUUAUCUUGUUUUAUAUUUCCUUGCAACGACAUUUGUGAAAAUUGGUGUUUAUACAUUAUUAGCAAUAUUGAAAAUGGAUUUGAUUCUUUCGUUUGUGGUAGUGUCAUAAUUUACCAAAUAAGGAAAAAAUUUCAUCACCCAAGUUUCAAUUGAAUAGAAACUUGGAAUCAUGCAACUUGUAUUGUAUGAUGGAUGAGAAUCUUCGUAUUUGGGAAAUUAAGACUAAUUCAUUGUUCACAUGUAUAUGUGAGUCAAGUGAAGGACUAGGGGAUCAGGUACACUUGGUUGUGCGUUGGGCAGGUCCACCACAAAGAACGAUAAGACUAUUCGUUAUGAUUUACUAAAAGUUUAGUAAAGAUGGUUAUACUUACAAGAUUAAGUGUAAUUCUGGAUCAUUGAAAAAGUUUCAAUGUGUAGCAGAUUGAAUAAGAAGAAUCAAAUCAGCAAAAAGAUAAAAGUUUCUCCAAUCUGAAAAGAAAGGAGAGUACUUGAAUAUCGCGUUUUAUGAUCAUCUUAGUGAUUAUGAAACCAUAUCACAAAUUGAUCCUCAAAGGACAUCUUAGUGCAUUUGUAUGGCUAAGAAGAGGAAUCAUGAAUUGUUAAAAUUAGGAGUGUUCAUUUGGAUGGAUCGGUUUAAUCCGAUCCGAUCAAGUGAAUCCAAAUUAAUUUCGGUUUUCAAAACGUAGAUCCAAAUAGUCCAAACUAAAUUCAAAUCUGAUCCGAUCCAACCAAAUUAUAAUCCAGUUGGAUCGGUUUUCUACAAUUCGGUUUUCAAGAAUCAAGACAUUUCAGCAAAUAUAUAACUUUAGUAUUAACUUACUCUAUAAUAUAAACUAAAAAAUAUUGUUUAAUUAGUUGUGAACUAAAACUUAUAAAUAACUAUCAAGAAAAAUAUAUUAUAGUUUACUACUUUAUAAACAAUUUUUUUUUCAUAAGAAGUACAUAUUAAAAUACUAUAAUAGAUAAAAAAAAAUUAAUAUAUUAAAAGAAUAAUUUAGUAAGUUUAUAAUUUAUUAAAGAUAUAUAUUAAAAAGAACAAAAUAAUAAAUUGUAAUUCGGUUGUUUUGGACUAUUCGAUUUUUACUUUACAAACCAAAACCAAUCCGAAAUCCAAAAUAAUAAUUCGGUUUUGUUAAAAACCAAUCCAAAAAUCCGAAUAUCCGAACCAAAUAGUCCGAUCCAAAUUGUCCAAUUGUAAAAUUCGGUUUUAUCAAAAUAGUGAACAGUCCUAGUUAAAAUGGUUAAAUCAAAAGGUGAAUCAUACUUCGUUACAAAAUCAAGUCUUAGAGUCAUACUCCAAGAUUGUGUCUUGAGUGACAUAUUCUUAAGAAAGGUUUGUAACACUUAUCAAAUGUAUAGUAAAAUGUUUUCUACUCUAGUACAUUUGAAAUUGGUAAGUUAUGAUGUUUUGGAUAAAACAAAGAUCAACUAAGAUCGAUUGUCAGAAGUGCUUAUCUUGAUAAGAAACCGCACUAACUCUUGAGUAUUUGAUUGGAAAUUAAUGUUUCUUUACAAAUAGAAUCUUAUAUAUCAAAAGGCCAGUGGGAGUCUUAAAUAUCUUGAAAAGUUUCAAGAACUAAUCAAGAGUAAACCCAUUGUUAAUCACUAGCGCAUGACUUAAGGUUUGUAACCUAUCGUGUUGACAUGUUUUUGUUUCUGUGCCCAUUCCAGUUAAGUUGAAUGCACAUGUGAGUUCUGUGAGUUCUCAAUUGUUUGCAAAACAACUUGGAAGCAAAGGUAGGCCCUUGAGUUGCCAGGUGGCAAGAAAUUAAGAUUAAACAACUUCAGUCCAUAUGAGUUUGGUUUUUGUCACUAAUCUUGUCUUGUGAUUAUGGUUAUGACAAAUUCACAUGGAUAGGAACACAUACACCAUAAAAUCUAAGUGUCAUAAGGUUCUCUCUGAUUCAUGAAAAUGGUUAUGAGGAAACACUUUCACUAAGUAGAUUUUAAGCAAAUAGCAUUUGUGAUAUUUGCAUUCUCAAAUUUGAUUAUGAUUACGACAUCCCUCUUCAUAGUUCGAAUUGUGAGAAAUGGAAAAUAGUUUGAACAUUCAGAACUUAUUGUUGUAAGUUCUAAAUAGUUUAGACACACAUAUGAGCUUUCUAAUAAGCGGUGUAUGAGCUUAGAUAAAGGCUUAUCAAAGCAUCUCAUGUCAGAAAUCUGAACUUUGGUAAGAAAGUCAAUAAGUAUUGAUUUCUAGAAGUCCAACUGAUUUCUGGAUACAUGUCAAAGCUAAUGGGAGCAUAAGUAUUAUGCUAGUAAGAUAAUAAUUAUUAUGCUAGUGGGAGCAUAAUUAUUAUGGUAAGUGUUGCGAGUUAGCAAUGUUAAUUUUUAAUUUUAGAAAACAAAGGUUUCAAUUCGCAAAGUUGCAGGGUUUGAAAAGUAUGUUUUGCUAUAAUUAAGGGAGAGGAACUUAUAAUUCAUUUCAAUUCCAAAAUUUUAGAUUGAUAUUUUAAUCACAUUUUGUUAAGGACAUAUAUGAAUGUUAUGUUGAAAAGAUUCGACAUAAGGAAAUUCUAUAUAUGGAAAUGUUAUAGCAAGAGACUGGUAAAGUAUCAGGUAUAUAUGUAAGAUAUUAUGAACCGUAUCCCAUAUGCUUUGGGUAUAGGAUCGAUUGCAUAUGAUAUAGUAUUUAUGUGUUAUGAAUUUUCCAAAUGCCUAGGGAAUUAAGAAGGAAAAAGGACCAGAACCGGAUAUGACUAAAGUUGCUAAACAAUUGCUAAGAACAAUCCAAGGUUCGCCAAAGAUUGGUUGCUUAUGGACAAUUGGAAGUAUAGUAACGGAUGGACCAUAUUGACAUGAUCUUGAAUAGAUAGGACUCUAUUAAGAAUGGUUAGUCAUAUGGAAAUUAUGGAAAAGUUUCCAUAAUGGGAGUUGGAUAUCAAGAAUCUAAGAGUAAGUUAGAAACUUUUAUGCUAGAAGGAUGUUUAAAGGAAUGUGCUUUGAAUAUGAGACUUUGUAUCUAUAGAAUUGUCUUGUAACAAUCUCCAAUGGAAAGUUUUGUAAUUGACAUAGUCUCUGUGUGUAACAUCCAGGUUCUCAGUAAUAAUAUUUUUAUUAUUUAAUUUGAGAUUUGAGGAGUGAAUUGACGAGUUGGUGCCUAAACUCAUCGAGUGGAGUCAUGGCUGGUGACGUGGAUUAAUGAAUGGAGUCGACGAGUCUAUGAGGCGACUCACCGAGUUAGCGUUGUUGAAGGAAACCCUAAUUUCACGGGCAUAUGGCCUAUUUAAAGGCACUUAUAGCCUCCCUUCGUGGCCACUUUUUCCAGAGAGAAACCCUAAAUGAUCUUUGAGCUUAUAGAGAGAAAGAGAGAACUAACCUUGAGCAUUUUGGUGUAUCUUUGCAAAGAAAGGAGAAGGUUUCAAGCAAGGAGCAAAAGAAGGCUGUUAGAAUGUCAAUAUACAUCCAAGGGCUUCUGUUAGAGGUAUCAAGUUUGAACCUUUCUCUCUUGUUUGAGUAGAUCUCUCAUUUUUAAGAUUAGGGAUUCUUUUCUUUAUAUUUUGGGACUUUGAGGAUUUGGGGUUCAUGAUGAGGCUUGAACUACAGAUCUGGACCUUAGGAGGUCCCUAGAACCUAAAGGUUCUUGCUUUAUUCAGCCUUGGGGGAAACUUAUGAGUAAAAAACCCAUUUAGAUCGUGUUCUUGGUAUUCAUGUCCAAAAUGCCAUGCAUGGACGUAAAGUCUAUGACUUUACGUGAUAAAGGAGUCCUGAGAGUGGGGAUCUAGAGUUUGGGAAAGUAUCCUGCCUUAAAAGCAUCUGAAUGCAAGUUGAUUCUGAAUGGACUCGCCGAGUUGAUGAGUCAACUCGGCGAGUAGAUUAGGGUUUGUCUCGAUGAGCUUUAUCAUGCGAUGGCUCAGCGAGUUAAGGGUUAACUCGACGAGAUGGACCUUCAGGAGAUUACUGAGAACAAUGGGACUCGACGAGUCGCACGAGUGCACUCGACGAGUCUAGUUAAUUUGGGCUGUUGACUGGAACUGACUUCUGUUGACUUUAGGGUUGAUCAAAUGAGUAAUGGAGGUCAAGGAAGGGUAAAAUGGCCUUUUACCCAUUUCUAGGGCUAAGAGUGUAAGAGAGACCAAUGAAUGGUGUACUCGAGUAUGAGGAGAGUAUUAAUUAGAGAUAUUAUCCUUGUGAUAGGUAGAGGCUAGAUCGAAAAUUUCGAGCACACGAUUUUAUUUGCUAGCUUACGAGGUGAGUCUCCUGACUAUACUUUGCCUAGAGUGGUAUCUAUGUGUGAGCAAAGGGUCUUAUGUGUUUAUUUGAGUAAUGUGAUAUUACUGCAUUAUGUCUAUGUGAUUAUGCUAUACGUAUUUAGAGUUUACAGAGUUAGGACCGAAGGGUCCAUAGAGUUAGGACCGAGGGGUCCAUCAGAGUUGUGGGACUGGAGGGUCCCACUGAGACACAUUGACUGGAGGGUCUUAUAGAGUUAUAGCCUCGAGUGGCUAAUAUGUUGGAUGUGGUAUUUUGGGUAACUCUCUAAGAUUUAUGCUUUCCAUGUUAUGUGUUAUGUGUUUCAGGUACUUCCAAGGAUCGCGGGAGGCACCAGCGUGAUUGUACACAUAUGUCCGAGAUUAUGUUGAAGGUUCUGGGAUUUGACUUUUGAUUUAAGUUGAUAUUGAAACACUUAUGGUUUUUAUGAAGUAUGAUAUAUGAAUUUUAUGUGUUUUAACGAUGAAGAAUUUGGUUUGAAAUUUUACGUUGUUACAAGUUGGUAUCAGAGCCUUGGUUUGAGGGAUUCGAAUGCACCUUCAGGUAUGUCUGGACACAAACUGAGGCUUUGAGAAAAUUUUCAAGAAAAACGAUUUUUUUUUCUAAAAAGAAUAAGAGUUUCCAUGAGAAAAAUGAGGAAGAGCAGUGUGUACAAUCAACGAGCGCCCGAACAGUGAUUUUCCCAGAAUACCCUUACCUGUAGUGUUAUGAGAUAUUUAUGAGAUAUUAUGAGAUAUGUUAUCCAUGCUAGAGAGUAGGCUAGGUACUUCAUAUUUUAGGACUAGAGUGGCUUGAUUUGUGAUGCCUUAGCCUAGGAAUUACUGUUACCUGUGAUUUUCUUUGAGUGCGAGUAUGUAGCAGAAAUGAGCUUAUGAGAGUAGUCUGUGUUCGGCGAGAUACAAAGUACUUGCGAUCUGGAAUCCUAGGAGGAGGACUUGGGGUGAUUACAGAUGCAGUGUGGAAGGUAGUAUUGGGCCCGUACUACUGAAAGCACCGGGUCAGUGAGCAGUCUGAGUAAGAAUCCUUAGGAUGCUAAGGAACAAGUAGGGUCGAGCGAUCGAGUGUGAGCAUACUCAAGCGAGUCUUUGAUUAUUUUGUUUUGUAUUUCAGAGAUAUCAUGGUGGGUACGCACCACAACCCAGGGGGCAGUGGUACCAGUAACGAGGAGAUUCGCAGGAUGAUUCACGAGGAGGUGGCCAUAGCUAUCCGAGAGGCCAUCCCAGAGAUGUUUGGGUCUAUCAAGACCACCUUGAUCGAGACGUUUGACGAGCGAUAUGCUACUGUUACCGCGGCGGCUGCCACUGCUGCCAGGCCACAAGGGGGUGACACGUUGUUGUACCGGGAUUUCAUCAACACGAAGCCACCCGAGUUUGAUGGGACUCAAGAUUUGAUUGACGCGAUGAGAUGGAUUUCUGAUAACGAGGGGUGUUUUUACACUUAUUCCUGUCCGGAACAUUUGAGGGUACGGUUCGUGCUGAACCAGCUUCGCUCGGGAGCGAAGGAAUGGUGGAAGUUUGUGACAACCAUUUUCACUUAUGCAAGGCUCACUGCAAUGUCAUGGGAGAGUUUUAAUACUAUGUUUCGAGAUGAGUAUGUUCCCCAGGUGGAGAGGGAACAGUUGGCCUAGGAGUAUCUGACCCACAAGCAGAGGACAGAGUCAGUGAUAGUGAUUACGAGGAUGUUCCAUAAGAGGGUAAUGUUCUGCCCUAAGCACGUGUCUACCAAACAGGGACGUAUGAUCCGGUAUUUGAGCAUUCCGAGGAGGGAUAUUCGAGAGUUCGUGGCGAACUCGACUUAUUGAUCAUUUGCUGAGCUUCAAGCAAAUGCCCGAAAGAGGGAGAUUGAGCUGGAGACUCAGGACAGAGAGGAGGCGGAGUCUCAGGGGAGGGAUCGACGGCCGUCAUAGUCUCAGCCAACAGCUAAGCGGGCUAAGCCGGCAGAUUCGAGAUCAGGAGCACAGAAGGGCUGCACUUAUGGGAAGUGUGGAAAGGGUCACGACGGGAUAUAUCGAGCACGGUCUUGUUACAAGUGUGGCAAGGAGGGGCACAUGGCGAAGGAUUGCCCCAAUGGGUCUGCACCUGUUACUACACGAGCUACCGAGAGUCGGCCCGUGAAGGCUGAUGCGCCAAAGCUUCAUGGGAGGGCCUUCCAGCUGACAGCGGAGGAGGUCCGCACAGCACCUGAUGUCGUGGCCGGUAUGUAUUCCUUUGUUUAUUCUAUUCUGAGUUAUUUGUGCUUAUAGUGUGAUUUACGUAGGUACUUUUCUUGUGAGUUUUGUACUUGCCUUAGUGUUAUUUGACUCGGGUGCGAGUCGAUCGUUCGUAUCAUUAGUGUUUAGUCACCACAUUAGUAUCUGACGUGAGUCGUUGAGUCGGCCUCUGAGAGUUUCUAUAGCCGAUAAGCACGCAGUGUUUUCCACUGAUGUGAUCCGAGGAUGUGUGCUCGAUAUUUUUGGUGUUGAGUUUCCGAUAGAUUUGGUACCAAUCGCCAUGGGUGAUGUAUGUGUCAUUGUGGGCAUGGACUGGUUGAGCCUAUUCAGAGCUGUAAUCGACUGCGAGCGUCAGUUGGUGGCCAUACAAAACCCUAGUGGGGGAGUGCUUAUAGUUAUGGCGAGGGUACCCGAUCAGGAUCAGCUUUCUACUCUAUUGCCAGAGCGAGACAGAGUUUAAAGCAGGGUUGCAUGGGUUUUCUGGCGUACGUGAUGGAUUUGCAGGUUGCUACUGGGAGACCGAGUUCUAUCUCUGAGGUUCCGAUAGUAUGUGAGUUUGCAGAUGUUUUCCUCGAGGAGUUGCCGCGAGUGCCUCCCAAGAGGCAGGUAGAGUUUCGGAUUGAUUUGAUUCAGGGUGCGGCACCUAUUUCCAAGGCACCCUAUCGCCUUGCGCCAUCAAAGAUGCAUGAUUUAUUCUCCCAGCUCCAGGAGCUGCUAGGGAAGGGGUUCAUUAGACCGACCAGUUGAUCGUGGCGAGCUCGGAUCCUUUUUGUCAAGAAAAAUGAUGGUUCGCACCGUAUGUGCAUCGAUUAUAGGGAGUUGAACAAGAAGACGGUCAAGAACCGAUAUCCACUUCCGAGGAUCGACGAUCUGUUCGAUCAGUUGCAGGGUGCGUCUUGGUUUUUCAAGAUUGAUUUGAGGUCUGGAUAUCAUCAGAUGAGAGUUCAUGAAUAGGAUAUCUAGAAGACGUCCUUUAGAACUCAUUAUGGGCAUUACGAGUUCGUGGUGAUGCCUUUUGGACUCACCAACACACCGGCAGCGUUCAAGGAUCUCAUGAACCGGGUGUGCAGGCCUAUGCUAGACCGAUCAGUGAUCAUUUUCAUCGACAAUAUUUUGGUGUACUCGAGAUCUUGAGAGCAGCAUGAGGAGCAUUUGAGAGAGAUUCUUGGAGUAUUGAGAUCGGAGAGGCUUUAUGCAAAAUUCUCCUAGUGUGAUUUCUGGUUACGAGAGGUCCAGUUCUUGGGACACCUCAUUAAUCAGAAUGGUAUUUUGGUGGAUCCGGACAAGAUUGAGGUAGUCAUGCGUUGGGAGGUGCCGAGAUCCCCAUCCGAGAUCAGGAGUUUUCUGAGAUUAGCCGGCUACUAUCGGAUAUUCAUCAGAGAUUUCUCCAAGAUCGUCGUCCCCCUCACCAGGUUGACCCGGAAGGGUGUUACUUUUAUUUGGGGUCACGAGCGGCAUACCUCAUUUGUGAACCUUCGCCAGAGAUUGUGUAAAGCCCCAGUGUUAGCCCUUCCCGGGGGAGUGGAGAACUUCGUGGUUUUCUGUGAUGCAUCCAUAUCCAGGUUGGGUGCGGUGUUGAUGCAGAGAGAGCAUGUGAUAACAUACGCAUCGAGGCAGUUGAAGCCUCAUGAGACAAGGUAUCCCACCCAUGAUCUGGAGUUAGGGGCGGUGGUGUUCGCCCUCAAGAUCUGGCGCCACUAUUUGUACGGGGUUCGAUGUAUCAUAUACACGGACCACAAGAGCCUGAAGUAUCUCAUGGAUCAAACCAAUCUAAAUAUGAUGCAAAGGAGAUGGUUGGAUGUGGUGAAAGACUAUGACUGCGAGAUCCUGUAUCAUCCGGGCAAGGCUAAUGUGGUAGCCGACGCCCUAAGCCACGAGGUAGAGAGUUCUCCGAUCUAAGAUGUGUGUAUGAGGAUGACGGUGAUGACUCCAGUCUUAGAUACCAUCCGAGAGGCCCAAGCGGAGGCCAUGAAACCGGAGAACCGCAAGAGGGAACGAGUGAUUGGGCAGGUGUCCGAGUUUGUGAUGGAUAGCCGAGGACUCAUGACUUUCCGAGGGCGGAUUUGGGUGCCCUGUACGGUCAGAGCUCGACAUAUACUAAUGGAGUAGGCUCAUAGAUCGAGGUUCUCAAUCCAUCCUGGGGCUACUAAGAUGCAUUUAGAUCUGAAGAGAGACUAUUGGUGGCCCUGUAUGAAGAAGGAUGUUGCUUGGGUAGUUGAGAGGUGCUUGACCUGCUGUCGGUUCAAGGCAGAGCAUCGGCGUCCACAUGGUCCAUUGUUGCCUCUUGAGAUUCCCCAGUGGAAGUGGGAACAGAUCUCGAUGGACUUUAUAACCAUGUUGCCGAGGACUGCACAAGGAGUUGACGCAAUUUGGGUGAUCGUGGACCGGAUGACGAAGAGUGCUUACUUCCUUACUAUUAGUGAGAGAUCUUCCGUGGAAAAAUUGGUUGGGAUCUAUGUGAGAGAAGUGGUAGCACGUCAUGGUGUGCCGGUCUGGAUAGUAUCGGAUCGAGACAUACGUUUCACUUCCAGGUUUUGGAAGAAGUUUCAUGAGGAGUUGGGCACACGCUUGCAUUUCAGUACGGCGUAUCACCCACAAACGGACAGGCAGAGCGAGCGGACGAUUCAUACGCUUGAGGACACGUUGCGGGCAUGUGUCAUGGACUUCGUAGGAAGUUGGGACACCUACAUACCACUGGCUGAGUUUUCAUACAACAACAGUUAUCAUUCGAGUAUUGAUAUGCCUCCCUUUGAGCUUCUGUAUGGGAGAAGGUGUCAGACUCCCAUUUUCUGGGGAGACGUUGGACAGAGAGUGAUUGGUGGCACGGAGAUAGUGCUGAAAACAACCGAACGGAUUCAGUAGGUCAGACAGAGGCUUCUGACGGCACAGAGUCGCCAAAAGAGUUAUGCGGACAGGCGACGGUCCAUGCUAGAAUUUCAGGUCAGGGAUUUUGUUCUUCUGAAGGUAUCCCCACGGAAAGGAGUGAUCCAAUUCUGGAAGCGGGGUAAGCUGGGACCCUGAUACAUCGGUCCUUUCAGGGUGACCGCCAGAGUGGGCAGGGUAGCUUACCAGUUGGAGCUACCUGCGGAGUUGAGCCAAAUCCAUAACACCUUCCACGUGUCCUAGUUGAGGAAGUGUGUGGUCGAUGAGACGACAACAGUACCACUGGAGGACAUUCAGGUAGAUGCGAGCCUGAACUACAUUGACAGGCCAAUCGCGAUUCUAGAUAGAAAGGUGACGGUUCUGAGGAACAAGGAAGUGCCCCUGGUUCAGGUCCAGUAGCAACAUCGGAGGGGAUCCGAGUUGACUUAGGAGUCGGAGUCAGAGAUGCGGGAGCAGCAUCCAGAGUUAUUUGUUGAGCAUCCCUUCGAGGGUGAAGUUUGAUUCUAGUGGGGGAGAAUUGUAACAUCCGUGUUCUUAGGUAUAAUAUUUUUAUUAUUUAAUUUUAGAUUUGAGGAAUGACUCGACGAGUUGGUGCCUAAACUCGUCGAGUGGAGUCAUGGCUGGUGACGUGGAUUAAUGAAUGGAGUCGACGAGUCUAUGAGGCGACUCACCGAGUUAGCGUUGUUGAAGGAAACCCUAAUUUCACGGGCAUAUGGCCUAUUUAAAGGCACUUAUAGCCUCCCUUCGUGGCCACUUUUUCCAGAGAGAAACCCUAAAUGAUCUUUGAGCUUAUAGAGAGAAAGAGAGAACUAACCUUGAGCAUUUUGGUGUAUCUUUGCAAAGAAAGGAGAAGGUUUCAAGCAAGGAGCAAAAGAAGGCUGUUAGAAUGUCAAUAUACAUCCAAGGGCUUCUGUUAGAGGUAUCAAGUUUGAACCUUUCUCUCUUGUUUGAGUAGAUCUCUCAUUUUUAAGAUUAGGGAUUCUUUUCUUUAUAUUUUGGGACUUUGAGGAUUUGGGGCUCAUGAUGAGGUUUGAACUACAGAUCUGGACCUUAGGAGGUCCCUAGUACCUAAAGGUUCUUGCUUUAUUCAGCCUCGGGGGAAACUUAUGAGUGAAAAACCCAUUUAGAUCAUGUUCUUGGCAUUUCAUGCCCAAAAUGCCAUGCAUGGACGUAAAGUCUAUGACUUUACGUGAUAAAGGAGUCCUGAGAGUGUGGAUCUGGAGUUUGGGAAAGUAUCCUGCCUUAAAACCAUAUGAAUGCUAGUUGAGUCUGAAUGGACUCGCCGAGUUGAUGAGCCAACUCGGCGAGUAGAUUAGGGUUUGUCCCGAUGAGCUUUAUCAUGCGAUGGCUCGGCAAGUUAGGGGUUAACUCGAUGAGCUGAACCUUCAGGAGAUUACUGAGAACGAUGGGACUCGACGAGUCGCACGAGUGCACUCGAUGAGUCUGGUCAAUUUGCGCUGUUGACUGGAAUUAACUUCUGUUGACUUUAGGGUUGAUCAAAUGAGUAAUGGAGGUCAAUGAAGGGUAAAAUGGUCUUUUACCCAUUUCUAGGGCUAAGAGUGUAAGAGAGACCAAUGAAUGGUGUAGUCGAGUAUGAGGAGAGUAUUAAUUAGAGAUAUUAUCCUUGUGAUAGGCGGAGGCUACACCGAAAAUUCCGAGCAUGCGAUUUUAUUAACUAGCUUACAAGGUGAGUCUUCUCACUAUACUUUGCCUAGAGUGGUAUCUAUGUGUGACCAAAGGGUCUUAUGUUUUUAUUUGAGCAAUGUGAUAUUACUGCAUUAUGUAUGUGUGAUUAUGCUAUGUGUAUUUAGAGUUUACAAAGUUAGGACCAGAGGGUCCCACUGAGACACAUUGACCGGAGGGUCUUACAGAGUUAUAGCCACAAGUGGCUAAUAUGUUGUAUGUGCUAUUUUUGGGAACUCACUAAGCUUUAUGCUUAUCGUGUUAUGUGUUAUGUGUUAUGUGUUUCAGGUACUUCCGAGGAUCGCGGGAAGACACCGACGUGAUUGUACACAUCUACUCGAGAUUAUGUUGAGGGUUUUGGGAUUUGACCUUUGAUUUAUGUUGAUAUUGUAACACUUAUGGUUUUUAUGAAGUAUGAUAUAUGAAUUUUAUGUGUUUUAACAAUGAAAAAUUUGGUUUGAAAAUUUACGUUGUUACAUGUGACUUGUGUACAUACUCAUUACAAAAGGAUCACUGCAUAUAAGCUUAGAUUCUUACAGAUUACAAUAAGUGGAAAGGACUUGGUAUUCUUACACUUAUGGUAAGGAUCUACAUGCUUGGAGCAUGUGAUAACUAUUGUUUUAAUUCAAGUGUGAAGUUGAUAAAUCGAAGCAUUAUACAAUGAAUAAUGUGUAAUAAAUAUGGUGAUUAAAUAAAAAGUGUUUUAUUUAUAUUCAAAAGUUUUGAGACCAUAUUGGAUUUGAUUACUCUUUUGUUUCACUUUGCAUAUUUUGACUUCCUGAAUAACUAGGUUAUUCAAACCAUCCACAGUCGAUCAUACUUUGGAAGUAGGUAUUGAAGCUAGACUGUCAUGAAUGGGUUUGUAGAUUGUCUAAAGGCGUUUAGACAUAGCACAAGUUUGCUGUAGUGUUCAUGAGUUCUCCUGUAAUAAGAUUUGAGUAUUGGAUUAAACCCACGCUCAUCUGAAUCACUUCAUGGAUUUUAUACCGAGUGAUUGUGAGACGAUAAUAUCCUAUAUUCUUGAAACCAUGUGAGUUGUAGUUUACAAGUCGGUUGCACAUUGACAUAUGUAAACACACCCGUAACUUGGUGUUAUAAAACAUAUUGUUGUGUGUGAUUUGAUGAGUAAGUACAAGCAAGAAUUUGAGUCGAAGUUUAUCCGUUCCUUUUACCCAAUGUGGAUAAAAGCGAUAUCUGUGGGCCUGUCGAUGAUUUAGUGAUGACAACCCUAAGUGCUUGGCCAAGCCUGGACUGAUUUGAUUUGUUCAGUUAGUCGGUCGUCAUAAAUCAGAAAUCGAGAAACAACACAUGAACAAAGCGAAUGAUUAUAAUCCAUGUAUCAGUUCAUACGAUAUCUAGAAUGGAGGAAUAUAUGAUCCCUUAUCUAAUAGACACGUCAUUGACUAGGUCAGAGUUCGACAUCGGCUUUUAAGAGCUAUGAUUGGUAGUCGAGAUUUUGGAGUCGUACAUGCAAUAAUAGUUAUUAACUGUAUCCAAGUGGGAGACUAUUGGAUUAGGUGUCUAAGCCCAUAACUAUAAUUGGUAUGUACUUGACCCGAGAGUAGCAUGGUCUGCUUGGGUUGCCUUCACAAGAACAAUCUGAUAGGAUGGAUAUUUGAGAAAGAGGUUAUUUAUGAUUUAUUAAUAUAUUACAUGUAUAAUAUAUUAAUUGUGAAAUCAUAUUAUUUAAUUAGUAUUGAUCAAGAAUUAAUUUAGUGAUCAAAAGAGAAUAAUUAAAUUAGCGGGGACUGAUUAUGUAAAUCAGUGAUAUAUACAGUGUUUGGGCUAUUGAUUCAUGGUGGGCUAAGUUUUAUGUAAGUAUCCAUGAAGAGUUAGCCCACAUGAGAAAUGGAUCGUAACCUAAGUGUAUGGAUUAGGGUUUACCCAUGACUCUUGGAAUCCUACACUAUAUAUAUAUAUAUAUAUCCCUAAGGCUAAAAAUCGGNAAUUGGUGACCCUAAGCAUUCUAAGAGUUCUAAGAGAACCCUAGCCGAUUUUGGUGGUGCUUAACCUCUCUCUCAAAGUCCUCAUUUUUUCAUGGUGUUUGUGAACCAUUUAAGGUAUCACACUUGAGGUGCUAAGCUCUUGAAAGGCCAAGAACUACAAACUACAUCAAGAGGUAUUCAUCUAACUUGAUUUUAUAUGGUAUAUGCUCUAUGGUAUGCUAGUUAGGAUGUAUGAUUUGGAAAAAUUCAAAUUGCAUGUAUAAUUAGAGAAAACAUAGAUCCAAAGCAUCUAGGGUUGCAUGUGCACCAUAGGAGUGUUAUAGUGCUUAAAACCCAACACUUCAUUGGGGUGGUCAUGAGUAUAAAGAGGGAUUAACUCAUGCCUUGAGCAAGGCGGAUAGUGAGGUCGGAGAGCAUAUCUCUGUUAUGGGAGGAGGAACAUUAGGGUCUGAGGCAAGGUUGGGCCUGUUUAGCUCUUGAUGGGGUGAGACCCGUAUGCAUGGCCCAUUCAUUGGUAUAGACUGGGUGAGACCCAUGGGAUAGGCUUGUGUGUCUAUAACAAUGCAUGUGAGACCUGAUAGUGACUGGUUGGGUCAGGGAAUUAGAUCAAGGUUUUAGUAGGAUGAUUAUUUGGCCAGGGAGUGGCAUGGUGUAGUGCAUAGGCAAGGAUAGCCUUAUCGGUUGGAUUCUCAGGAAUCUAGUUGCUAGACCAGGUGUGAGACUAGUAGUCUCUGCGGUGGUUUGGGGAUAUUUAUAUCCCAGUUUAGUGAAUGGAUGCAAUGAGUUAGAAGGUUUAGGGUGAAAUGUAAGUGUAAAGCCUUAUAUCCCAGGUUAUGACGUAUGUAUCGAGUUGCCUUUCGGUCAAGAAUCCUUUGAUUAUGUUUUAGAUUGGUUCCAACUGUGUGGAGGUUAGUCAAGUGAUGGGAUUCCGAAAUUUUCGUAGUAUCAUGUUGGAUCGAUAGUUAUAGGAUCAAUGUUUUGUUCAGCACCGGUAGGUUUUGUUCGGAGCGUUGCUUUCCAGGAGGGUGGUAAGGAAUGACUUCGAGGAAGAAAUCUAAUUUAAGUAGGGGAGAGUUGUAAUGCCCUGUUCCGAAUCAUUUCCUAAUGCGAGGCGGUAACCCAAAGAACGGGUAUCAUCAGCCUCGGGGUCUUUGAGGGAAUGAGAUGUAGACCCAUUUGGGUGUGGGUUAUGUAACUUGGAUGAUUCCGUAGUUCGGUUUGUGUUUUGGAGCCAAUGGGUAUUUCGAUAAAGUGUCAGUUCGGGCUUUUAUGGAAAUUGGAUUUUUGUUUGGGAAGUUUUAAGGCAAGUAUAAGUUGAUAUAAGUGUAGAGCUUCUCGUUACAUCUUUGUGGAUAUAAGGGUCGUCAAAAACAGACUUAUAACAAAAAAGUUAUGGCAUUCAGAAGAUUGUAGGGUUCAAGGCUAAGGUCAGUACGUGGGGUGUACAUUGGUGUACGAUUGGCUUACUAAGCAGUUGGAUAGCGAAACUUAAGGGGAGUACGCUGGAUGUACUCCAGAUUCAUGCAAACCCUAAAUGAGGGUGUUGGACCUUAUUUAAGCUCAUUAUCUCUUCACUAAACCCUAAUACCUUUAGCAUCCAUCCCUUUUUAACCCAAGAUUCGAACCCCAAGUGCAUUGUGGUGAUUUUGAGCUUGGAACUGUUUUGUGGGUGUUUUGUGAAGAAGAAGAAGAAGAAGAAGAGAAACACUUGGAGGAGUGGCUUGAGCUUGUAGAUGUAGGAGUAUUUUUCCAUUUGCAAUCUCUCUAAGGUAAAAAGCUUAUAUCUUGAUAAUUAAUUUGUUUGGAUCUACUUUGUGGUGUUUCUUUUGUAUUUUUGAGUCCCUUGAAGUAAAGGUGGGUUUUUGAUCUACUCUAGAAGUAGUUGAUGUUUGAUCUAAGCUCAAAUAAGGUCCCUUGUUCAUAAAAAUGGAAACUUUAUCUGAGUUGUUGGUCCAUGCAAGUAUUAAGAACCUUAUUAAGUUCCUUUCUAAGUGUUGAGUCCCAUUAAGGCAUGUAUAUGAGUAAAGUUGGCAACUUUAUUGGUUAAGACCUUGUCUAGGGACCAGAUCUAUGUUUUGGACAUCUUGGAUUAACCCAUUAAGAGCUAAAUGUGGGUUUUGGAUUUCUGACGAGUACAUUGGGCGUAUGAGGAGGUACAGUCAGCUUAAUGUUGGGUUGCACAUUAGACGUUUGUACUUUGUGCAUCAUGGUCAAGUACGCGGGGCGCACAUCUCGAGUUUGCAGGGUGUACUCCCCAAUUCAGCAAAAUUGGGCCUUUUGAAUUUGGGCCUUAUUGGGCCAUUAGGCUUCUAUUUUGGGCCAUGGUUAGGUUGAGGACUUUCUUGGUAAUGGUCCCAUGAGAGUUUUAGGCCCAAUUUGGAAGUUGGGCCAUAUUGGGCCUGAGUUGCCAUCUUGGGCCUUUGGUGUAUUUGGGUUGGGCCUUGGUUUUGGGCCACAUGAGAAAAGGGUAAAAUGGUCUUUUACCCUUUAGGAAGUUGGUUUAUGGAGUGGGCCUCGAAAUUUGGAUUUUGGGUUGAUCAUUGAUUGUGUUUUGUAGUUAUUGUUAGUUGACGUGAAGUCAUCUGGUUCAGUUACCCAAGCAGUCAUUGUUUAUCAGCGGAUUAAGGUGAGUUUCUUCACUGUGUUUAGCGAGUCGAAGACACCAAUGCUGACCAAAUUCUUAUAUUUUAGGAUGCUAGAAGUAUGUGUGACUCUUUCAUGUGUUAUGGUAUGCUUACCGGGCACAACCCGAUGCCAAGCGGGGCCUGAUGAGUAUAUUGUAUGCUAGUUAUUAGUAUGUGUUUUCUGCUUUCCUAGCGAUACCCGAUGCCGGGAGGGGCACGAUGACUGUAUGGUAUGCUAUUGUCUUCAUGAAUAUCACAUGUGUUUGUAUGGUUAUAUGUUUAUAUGCUUAGAUGUGUAUUGGGCAGAGCCUGAUGACUGAUAGAUCUGUAUAUCGAGCGGGGGUCGAAGAAGGGCGGGGGACCCAAUAGGUGGUUAUUAUGUAUAGUAUGUGGUAUUUUGGGGAACUCACUAAGUUUUGUGCUUAAGGUUUUAUGGUUAUGGUUUCAGGAACUAUCGGUUCGAAAGGGAAGAGCCCGACUUGAUCGCAACGCAUCCACCCAUGUUUCUGCAUUAUGUUUUUUCUGGGAUUGUACUCUGAUAACCGUUUUCUUAUAAAAUUACUUUUGAAUAAUUGGCUAGGAAGAUAUUGAAUGUUGACUUAAAGAUAAUUAAUGUUUUGGUUGAAUUAAAAAUGAAAUUUUUACUUCAUAAUUUUGGGUUGUUACACUUUUCUUCUAAAAUCCAACCUUUUGACUCCUUGAAGCCCUAAAUCGAUUCAUCCAGGAAAACGGGCGUUAUAGGUACACUUUGCAAAAUGCUAAAGGUGGGAGACUAGUCUAAAGCAAGUGUGAAACUUAUGAGGACUUAAGACAUAUGUUAGUUGUUUUAAUUUAUGUAGAGGAUCUAGAGAUGGGAAAGGGAAGGAGACUAGUAGGUAUGCUUUGUCUAGGGAAAAUGAAUUGUAAGGGUAAUGAACUAUACAAAAAUACCAUUGAACUUUUUUUCGUACACAUAUCGCCAACCAACUAUAACGUUUGUACACGUAUAACAAUUAAACUUCACAUUUGUUCAAAAAAUACAAUUACGUUACCAGUAAUAGUAGGUCGCCAGCCACGUGGCAUGUCACGUUGUUGCUAACGUGGAUUUUACUGUUUAUUACGUAUUAUUAUGUACACAUUAUACCAUUAAACUUUUUUUGAGCACAUUAUUAAACUUUUUAUUUGUACAUAUUUUACUAUUAAACUUUUUUUGUAUACAUUUGACCAUUAUUCUUAUAUAUUUUAUUCAAAAAAAAAUAUAUCAUUUCAAAAAAUACAUAUUAUUACAUAAAAAUGGGUUUUCUAUCACCUAUUGUUACUUCCUGAUUUUGUAAGGUUUGGGGGAGAGGGUUCGCUUUUGACAAUGAUACUAAGCACUCCCUUUUACAACUACAUUGUACAUUUAUGUUGGUCAUACAUCGAUUGAAACCCACAAGGUUUGAACUUGAGACUUCCCUUUGGAGUGUCCAAGAAAUACUCAAUUAUUCAUUAUUUUAGCUAAAGUUUAAUAAACUUACACUAUAAGUCAUACAUAAUUUCAGUGCACUUUUCUAAUCAUCAACCAUAAUCAAGAAGGGAGGGGGUGGGGGAGGAGGAGGAUUCGAAAUCUAAUAUAAUGGAUAAUAGAGUAUUCAUAUAUUUAUACAUUCAAAUGUAAGGAAAAUGACUUGUAAGGGUAACGAAGUAUCAAAAUUAUAUAAAAAAUUUCAUUGAAUUUUUUUUGUACACAUAUCGCCUACUAAUUAUAAUGUUUGUACAUGUAUGACCAUUAAACUUCACCUUUAUUCAAAAAAUACCAUUACGUUACCGGUAAUAGUAGGUCACCAGCCAUAUGGCAUGCCACGUGGCUGUUGACGUGAAUUUUACUAUUUAUUAUGUACACAUUAUACCAUUAAACUUUUUUUUGUACACAUUAUACCAUUAAACUUUUUUGUAUACGUUUUACCAUUAAACUUUUUUGUACACAUUUUACUAUUAAUCUUAUUUAAUUUAUUCAAAAAAAUAUCAUUUCAAAAAUACAUAUUAUUAUAUAAAAAUGAGUCUUCCAUCACCUAUUAUGACUCCCUGGUUUUGUAAGGUUUUGGGGGAGAGGGUUCGCUUUUGACAAUGAUAUUAAACACUUCUUUUUACAAUUGUUUCGUACAUUUAUGUUGGUCAUAUAUCGAUUGAAACCCACAAGUUUUGAACUUAGACUUUCCUCUAAAGUGCACAAGUCUUACUCGACAAACCAUCAAGAUAACAACUUAAUAUUAUUAUAUAAGUAUAAAGUAUUUUUGCAAGUAACCACAAAAUAUUUCAAUAUAUAAAUACAUAUCUUUACGUACAUAUAAAACAUAUUUACAAUAAAUAUGUGUUUUUUACAUAAAAAAACACAUAUUUAUUGUAAAUAUGCUUUAUAUGUAUGUAAAAAUACAUAUUUAUACAUUGAAAUACUUUAUGAAUACUUGUAAAAAUACUUUAUACUUAUAUAAUAAUAUUAAGUUGUCAUCGUGAUGGCUCGUCAGAUAAGGCUUGUGCACUUUAGAUGGAAGUCUCAAGUUCAAACAUUGACUUUCAAUCGAUGUAUGACCAAUAUAAAUGUACCAAACAUUUGUAAAAGGUAGUGUUUAACAUCUUUGUCAUAAGUGAACCUUUUCCCGCAAACCUUACAAAAUCAAGGAAUAACAAUAGUUGAUAGAAAACCCAUUUUUAUCUAAUAAUUAUAUGUAUUUUUUGAAAUGAUAUUUUUUUUUGAAUAAAAGAUAUAAGAAUAAUGGUCAAAUGUAUACAAAAAAAAUUUAGUGGUAAAAUAUGUACAAAAAAAAAAGUUUAAUAAUAUGUUCAAAAAAAGUUUAAUGGUAUAACGUAUAUAUAAUAAACAAUAAUAUCCACGUCACUAGUCACGUGGCAUGCCACAUGACUGGUGACCUAUUAUUACCGAUAACGUAAUGAUAUCUUUUGAACAAAUGUGAAGUUUAAUAGUUAUAUGUGUACAAACGUUAUAAAUGAUUACUGAUAUGUGUACAGAAAAAUUCAAUGAUAUUUUUUAUACAAUUUUGAUACUUCAUUAUCUUUACAAAUCAUUUUCCUGCUUUUAUACCAAACGAAACAAACAUCAACUUUUCUGUUCUAAAUCAACAGUUAACAAAAUGGCUUAUAUUAAAACAAAUUACAUAUCUUUGCAUGCGCAUGAGCACUCUAAUGACCAUUUACAGUUGACCGGUGUAAAACGAUUAACAGUUAAAUAAAAAGAAAUUUAAGUCAUAUAAAAAAAGAAAAUGACAAAAAUAGCCACGCUUAAAGUACAAUAUACACGAUGAUGUUUACUGAAUUGCGAAAAUGGAUCACUUCGAAAUGCCACAAUUCUUUGAGAAACAACACUAUUCACUACAUAUGCCACUAUUCACACGAAAAAUAUUAAAUUUAUUAGUACUGUGAAAUUGUUCUUUGUAACGCAACAUAUAUUUUUCAAAAAUCACGUUUUAUUUAUCAAGGAAACAUCUUUUGAAUUUUUUUUUAUGGUACGGAUCUUCAAAAACUAUUUGCAAAAUGAAUUUAUAUUACGAAAUGAAGUCUUAAAUUAAAAGACUUUUUUUUUUCAAAAUUGGAACCGGUUUUUAAAAUUUCGUAUCUCACUCAUAUGAAAUCAGAAUUACUUGUUUUUUUUUUUUUUUUUUUUUUUCAAAAUGUAAUUUAGUGUUUUAAAUUCAUUUUAGACUAUAAAAAAAAUUGGUUAAAUAUUGAAUCAUAUAAAAACCCCAAAAGACACCAUAUCAAUGGUGCGUUAUUUAUGUUUCAACAUGUUUUAUUUUAUUUUGUCUUACUUUUUAAAAUACCGUUAUUCAUUAAUACGAAGUUAGAAUUAUUUGAUUUUUUUCCAACAUUUAAUUUAAUGUUUGUAUUUCAUUUUAGACUAUAACAAAUCAUAUUUGGUUAAAUAUUAAAUCAUAUACAAGCCUCAAAAGACAACAUAUCAAUGUUAUGUGCUUUUUUAAUAUUCUAUCAUGGUUUUUAAAAUACCAUAACCCCCUCACAUAAAGUUAGAAUUACUUGAUUUUUUUUUCCAACAUGUAAUUAAGUGUUUGUACUUCAUUUUAGACCGUAAAAAAACAUAUUUUGGUUAAAUAUUGAAUCCGAUAUAAACUUGGAAAGACAGCAUAUCAAUGCAACAAUUUUUCAUUUUUUUUUUUCAUCCAUGACUCAAACUAUAGAAUGAAAAGGGAAGAAGGUGUUGUAAGGGAGAAAACUCGAAGUAGGCACCUCAAAGUAUAAGGGUUAUACAUUGAACCAUUUGCACUACAAGCUAUUUAUGAUGUUAUCUUACAAAAUACAUUGAUAUAUAUUAUUUACAAAAAAAUUAUAUUUUUUAUAAUUUUGACUCGGUUUGAUUUUAUCGGUUUUUAUGUUUUCUAAAAUCGAAACCGAACCCAAUAUUUUGGUUUGAAAAAAACUCGAACCCAAAUCAUCAACAUCUAUUUUGAUUUUGGUGUUGUCGGUUUCCGGGUUCUACUUUUUUCACCCAUAAGAAUUUUCAUUCGCCUAAGACUAAGGGGUUGUUUGAUAGUUGUUGACUGGGUUAGAUCUGACUGAGUCUGAAGCUCUGACUGUAUUUGUUUCUGACUGAAACUAUAUUGUUUGAUUAAACAUCUGAUUGGCUGUGUUAACUAUAAAAAAUGAUCAUUUUACCCUUUUAUUUUGUUUUAUGUCGGAUAAAAUGAGUAUGUUUAAUAAAAUAUUUAGAUAAAAUUGAUGAAUAAUCAUACAACAUCGAAUUAAGCAUAAAUAAUUUUAAAGUCCGUAAACACAAUGUUAUCAAAGUCUGUACACAACAAAUGUUACCAAAGUCUAUACAUGAUUGUAAACAAUCACACCAGAUCUAUACCUAACCAUUGCUUUAUGUUUGCCCUUUCCUACAUAACUCUUCAAACUUACAACCUUUAUCAUCAGUAGCAUGAAUUGGCCAAAAAUUAUAAACCAUAAUCUUAUUUUUCUUUCACAACCACACUUGUUUUUCUUGAAAACAUCAACAAAUGUCAUAUAAUUUGUAAAUAAACAAAGUAAACAGCAAGAUCCAUUGACAAGCUUGUCGAUGACUUUUGAAAUAAACAUUGUAAACAAAAAUCAUAUUUAUGAAUCAUGAUCAUUAAACUUAAAUUCACAACCAAAAAAUAAUCAUUUCACACCAAAAAUAAUGAUCCCAAAUCAUCCCUGAAGCCUUUACCCCACAAUCAUACAUCAUUCUAGUAAACGGAUUGCCCUAUUUCGAACCCAAUUAAGCUCAAAGUUUUUUCAAAUUAAAAAACCAGGGUAAGAAAAACUGAAUCAGACCUUUAGUAGCUUUGAGAAAAUGAGCCAUCGCAGAUGAUGAAUUCUCGGGCAAUCAAGAUGUUGGUUCAUGGAGAAGCAGCGAACCGUUGAACAAUAGAGGAACAGAGAAGUAAAAGAAGCAGGGUCCAUGUAAGAUGAUGCUGAUGGUCGACAACGAAGAAGCAAAAUCAAUGUUGAAGAGAGCUGAUGGUCGUGAAUGGUGAUGAUCAAUAGAGAAGAAGUAUAGAACGGCGAGGGGAGAACAAAGAAAAUAUGGUCAGUAACAAAGAGAUUGAGAGUGAUGAGAGAGACUCGAUGGAUAUCAGGUUAAGGCUCCUUUUGAUAUACUGUAUUUGUGGCGUUGGAGGAGGAAAUCGAUGAGGAGUGGCAGAGAAGUCUAGAGUGGUGAAGGAGAAGGAGAGCGAUGGAGGUGGUUCACAUAGAGUUAAUGAGAAGGAGAAGGACAAACGAGGGAAUAAGCAUGUAUACGAUUCGGUCAACAUCUCUUUUGAGAGGACUCGGUAAGAGCUAUGGGGACCGGGUAAGAGGGUAAAAAGGCCACUAUCAAACGUUCUUACUGGACGAGUAAGAAAUAAUCGCUUACUGGACCAGUAAGACGUAAAUCAAACAGACCCUAAGACCAUCAAAAUCUCUUAUGCGUGAUUAUCGGCUAAAGGCAUAAAAUCAAAGGUAUCCUCGUCUUCUAUGCAAUGUGCCAUCCUUAUUCGUGAGACAUGGAAUAGAUUUGGCCAUUUGGGCCAAAAUAAUAUUAUUGUAUUAUGUAUGUAUGCUAUAUGCUCCUCCGUAAAGUGUUGUCUAGGUCGCCCAUAGCUUACACCAUAACAUCUUAUUUCUGUAAGUACUUAAUUUUAUUUUAAAAAAGGUAGAUGUAGUUACGAAAAUGUUGGUGGUUGUCGAUAUUGUAUGAACAUUUUGAACAUGUGUACGUUCUAACCAACCAUUUAGUUAAUUUUAAUUUGAAACAAAAACUAUUAUAAUUGCAUAAAUACGAAAUGCAUAAUAACAAAAAGUGUAAGAGAUAAUAAUAAUAAUAUAAUAAGUCCCCCGAAAUACACAAAAAAAACAUCGUCCUCAAAAGAAUCCCAACUAAUUUCACUUCAAAAUACAAUGAAUCAAAAUAUAUGAAUAUCGGUCAUAGAUGAUGACUGUAGACGAUUUAGAAAAUAUACAUCUCUCUAGAUCAACGAGUAGACAAGAGCACAUCCGAAAACCAAGCUUCCAACCAUCGAUCCCAUCUUCUCAACUCCACUCUGCAAUUACACGAAUCAUCCCACAAAUUAAUACCACAGAGGUAAUAGCAACACAAUGCAUUUGGGGUACUAAAAUGUUAUAUAAUACAACUCAAAAGUAUAAUGUAAUGUACAAAAACUCAAUAUAUGUAAUAAUUCAUUUACAAAUAAUUAGGGAUGACAAAAACACCAUAACUCAACGCGAAAACCUGAAACUACAACUUUUGAUUUUUUCUAAAAAAAUUUCUCAGGUUUUGGAUGGUUACGAUAUUAAGGUUAUAAUUGAAAUUAUUAAAUAAUUCAAGUUGUUUUUAAAAAGUUUAUGAUUUAGAUUAGUUUAAAUCCCAAAUCCCAAUUUGUUUCACUAAAGCCAAACAAAAAUGAUCAUUAAUAUAUUGCUAUUAUUAAUAGAUAAUAAUAUUAAUAUUAAUACUUUUAUUACUUCAUGGAAGUAAUUAAAAUAUUUACCAGUUGAAUUACAAUCCUUAAUUAAUGGGAUUGAGGUUGAGUGUUGAUCUGAAUGGAUCACGUGACUCCCAUCAUUCACUUUACCUUAAGAAACCAAACCUGCUUCUACUUUUACCUAACUUUACAUACUCUACCCGACCCCAUUAGAUCUACCCUCAGCUUAAUGCUAAAUUAUUCUUGCAUCAGAUCUGUAACAAUAAAAAUGUAAAUGGAGUAAGGUGAGAAGUAAGUACCACGUCAGUAGCUGAUGGUGCCGGAGAUACACCAGUGGUGGUGACGGCCGGAGAAGGUGCUCCAGUAGGUGGUGCUGGUGGGCUCGAAGUUAAGGGAGAUGGUGCAGCCGAUGGAGUCACGACUGGGGAAGAGACUGGGACGGGAGCUGGUGGUGGUGAAGCUGCAGGAGGAGGAGUGGCUGCUGGUGGUGGUGACGCGACAGGAGGGGGAGUGGCUACAGGUGGUGGUGAGGCAACAGGAGGUGGAGUGGCUACAGGUGGUGGUGAGGAUACAGGAGGUGGAGUGGCUACAGGUGGUGGUGAGCUGACUGGCGGAGGAGUGGCAACGGGUGGAGGAGUUGAGACAGGUGGCGAUGCGACGGUUGGUGGUGGNNNNNNNNNNNNNNNNNNNNNNNNNNNUGGUGGAGUGGUGGUGGUUGGGGUGGCGGUGGGGGAGGAGGAAGGUGAUUGAGCGGCGACGGAAGAGAAGAUAAUGCAGAUGAGGGCAGUGAGGAGGGCAGCGUUGCGAUCCAUGAUUGAUUUAAUUUAAGCUUGGAAUUGGAUUUGGAUGAACGACAAGAAGAAUGUGUUAUGUGUGUGAGUGAUGGUGAGAGAGUAAGAGGUGUCUGGUUUAUUAUAUAGCGGACUUGUAUGAGG
rnacentral:lncRNA from 1 species